rnacentral:lncRNA from 1 species
AAAGAGAUUUCAAGUGACCCAGAUUGGGAAUAGAGAUUAUUGAAAGCACAACAGAAAGAAGAACACCCAGUUGGGUUUUGGUGAGAAACGGCCAGAGACCAGAGAGAGGGAGUGAGCUAAGAAAGGUGUAACAGUGCCAUGCAUAUAUAGAGUUGGACAAGGAAAAGAGACAAACGGCCAAUUUUGGUUUUUUUUUCUUUUCUACCAAAAAAAAGAAAAGAGAGGGACUUUUUUGUGAGUGCGACUUGUGUGUCUGUGUUGAGGCUUUUAUAUACAGAAUUGCCAAAGGGACCUUUCUCCUGGGUUUGAAACUCUGUGGUGACAGACCAGUGGACUUUUGCCACCUCAUUGCCCGCUCAAAAGAGGCGUGAGGUGUCCGGCUAAAUUGGGGUUUAUGGUAUGGUUUGUGAACUUUUGAGAGGACGUGUGGUUGAAGUUUUGAGGAAGAGGAGGAGGAAGAAGAUGGAAGAUGAUGGUGAUCAUAGAUUGUGUUUGGGUGUUUCUUUUUCCCCAUUGGUAAUUCUUUUAGGGUUUAUUUCUCUUCCUUUUUUUCUAACGUUGCAAAACUAUGUAUCUGGCGAGGGAUGUGGAGGGCUUACAGCUCAUAUGAUUGUUGGAUUCUCGUCACUCUUUUGAUUUUUUUUCGAUUUCAAACAAAAAAAAAAAUUGAUGGUCAGUCGGUGGUGGUAACAUAACGACAGUUUGCUGACCUAGUGAUUAGCUAGAAGAAGUCAAUUAGAAGUACUUCGUGCCGAGGAAGGAAGGUUUUUGGGAGUCUACUCAGUGUCUCUAUUCUCAAACCGAAGUCAAACAAGCCUUCCUUUGUGGUGAAACGGUUCUUUCUAUUGUUCAUCACUCAUCAGGAAGCAGUGACAGCUGAGUGCUGAUGUACAAUGUUUGCUAUCCGAUGUCGCUCUCCUGUCACAAGGCAAUUGCAUAAUAAGAUUCCAGCUUAAUUAGGUAACAAAGCUAAAAGGGGUAGUGCUCUAGGAGGAGUUCAAGUGCUGUUCUCUUUUAGCAUAACUUCCAGUGACAAUGUUGUGCUGCUGAUAUGUCUCAAGUAGUCUCAACUGGUUGCUGGUGGUUUGCAUUUUGCAGCAUGCAAAGCUGCGCUUACUACCUGGGCUCAAAACCAUGGGAAAUUUGAUCAGCUUCAAAUGAAAGCAUUAAGAAACUUGUAUCAAACAGUUAUAGUAGUGGACAAUUCUUUAAUGACAGAUAGUUAAUUAGAAAAACUUUGUGUUGAAAAUAAAAAAAAUGACAUCGAGGUUUUGUUGAAAGUGGAAAAGAAAUUAAGAGUGCAUCUUUAAAACACUUAUGAUAGGUAUAAAUAACACGUAUAAUUUCUCAUUAUCAGUAGAUAAUAAAUGACAGGUGAUUCACAUAAUUUAGUUUUUUAUUCAAAUUAGAAUGCAUAUAUUUAUAUAUUUUGUUAAGAAGAAUUGCUUCUUGCUUUUACUCCAAAUCUCUCGAUUUAAUCGACUUCAUAUACAAAUUUCACUUCUCUUUUGCUGUUUCAAGGACGAAACUUGCUCACUAGCCCCAAUUUUGAGGCUACUUUGUUCUAUCGUAUGUAAGGCCAAAGAGUUCUAGUUCAACCUGCUAGGAGUUAAAAGUGCAUCAUUUUAGCUUGUUUGCUAUGCUGCGUAGAUCUUAUGAAAUUGACAGUGUGAUAGAAGUUUCUGUCCUUUCUGGAGCGACAUCGGAUAGUAAACAUUGUGCAUCGUUGUUACUGCUUCCUGAUUAAAAAUUCAAGCCUUACAAGGAACAUUAAACAAGAUUCCACAACCAACAUAUCCAAAAGAACCCAGAUGAUACAAAAGAAAUUGCAAGGAGCAAUGUAACAGAUUAAUAUAAGCAUCCCUGUGAGUCUGAACGUGAUGAACUGAUGAUACCAAUGCAUAAGCUACGCUAGGCAUCUUUUUAUCUUAAAAAAGGAAAAGAAAAAUAAAGGAUGAGGAAAAGCAUCUUUAGAGAGAGGAAUAAAGGAAGCCAACAGUGGAGCACUAUAUCAUGAUCUCCACACAAUAAGAUCAUCAGAAUAAUCAACGAGAUGAAGUUUUUGUUUCAGCUCCCGUGCUGUUCGUGCUUCUGCUUCAUCAAACCGAAAAGGAGCAAACACAAGGAGAAAGAAGCCAAAAGUGGCUGAAAGAUGUGAUUCUCCCGCCAACAGUGCUCGUGAAAAGUUGGAGAACUACUGCCAUCUGCUUGGUGUUUUAACAACCUUGUCUUUUCAUGCCUGUAUAAGUGUGUAUCACAAAUGUAGUAGUCUUUAAAUGAACAAUAAGAUGACCUUUUAAAGGGCUUUCUCCUCUAUCUUCUUGGUGUUUUUCCUGCUUGUAUCUUGAUCAUUUGGCGCUAAGCCUAUCUCACGGAUUUGAUGGUCCACAGAAACCAAACCAGUCUGCGAAAGAAACCUGCAAACGUUAACCCAAUAAGUAAGACAUCAAGGGUAAGCACGCAUGACAAAAUCAGAAAUAAACACGCAUCAUCUUUCUAAAUCCUUGUAGGGAGUUCUCUUUGCAGUUCCUUUCCCCGGGCAAAAUGAUCAUUUACACUUGGUCCUUCUUACAAACUCUCCCUGUUAAUUAUAUCAAUCUUAGUUUUGCCCUCGAUUCCAUUUGGACGUAUACAUAACAUACUUACACAACACACGCUCUUAAAAUUCAAUUUAACCAUCUCAAACCUCCCUCAAGCCAAUCUCUUAAUCCGUUCUCAGAAGCAUAGUAAGUUCGGGAUAAGGUCCAGGUUCUACCAAGAAAAGUACAUGUAUUCAUUAUACCUCAGAGAACACAUAACUAUUGAUAGCCUAUAUACAGGGUAUUCGGCUUGAGAUACUAAACUAUAACAGAGUAAAAAAAUUGUAAAUAGAUGCUACUAUACAAAUGCUAUUAUGCAAAUUUUGUAAACGAAAUUAUGCAAUACAAAGUGAACCAAAUUCUACCAACUAUUGCUCACUCAUCAAACUUAACAAGCAUAGUGUUUUGGGCAUUCGCACAGUGGACUUGAUUGGCAUAGCAGCAGCACAAAGCAUCAAAUAUAUAAUACCAAUGCUUAUCCAAAACACACAGCAGAAGCAAUCAAGAAAUCACAAACAAAGCAAAGCAGAACACAAUCUCAAUUUUCAGACAAGAACCCACAUCCAAAAACUGAAAAGGGUUUCAAAGAAAAGGAAUUGGGGGCAUUGUAGAGAAGAGUUGAAUACCAACUAAGAAGCAGGAAGAGAGUGGUGGUGAUGAGGACCAAGAAUGCAACAUGAAGAACCAACCAAGAGUCACUAGAGGAGAAAGCCAAGCCCAGCAUCACAGCUAGGCAAACACCCAGCAUCACGAAAGCUAGCCUCAGAGUUUUCCAUGUAGGACCCUGAAAGUUCAUUCAUUCAAUCACCAAAUCACCAUUUCACAUGAGAUUUGCUCAGAAUCAUCAUCAUCCUGAUAAGAAAACUUACGUUUACACCGGGAGCUAAAGCCCCGAGAAACACUGCUUGCGCAGAUGAAAUGUUUUCUCCUCCUCCUCCUUGUGAUUGUUUAUUGGCCAUCUUUUUUGAGGGGUUUUGGAUCUCGGAGAUCUUUGGGGGCUCUGCGAACGUUGGAUAGUUGAGAGUCAAUUACAGUCCGAGACAAACGAAGCACUUUUAUACCACCUGCAAACAAUUUAUUUAUAAAAGUUCUGAAAAUAAAAAUAAAUAAAUAAAUAAACUUCACGUAAUAUCAUUUGGUCUAGUGGCAUAGUCUCACGUUGUAAGCAAGAGAUUACGUGAUAAAACAACGUUAAAUGAAAACAUUUGAAGACAGAAUGAGCUCCCAUUUUCUUUCCGAAAAAGAGUUUUUGUUACUCAUGUAGGAUACUUAGAGGAUCCGUCGAAUAAAACAUGAAAUUUCAAGAGUUACUUCAGAAAAUUUGAAGAUUCUCUAUUCUUAUACAUCAAAUUAUGUUGGCUGACAUUUUUUUGAUUAAUCGAUCAUAACCAUCAGACGGGGAAAGAAUGUGAUUAUAUCCGAUUGCGAUUGGUCACAUACAUAUCACAUAACUUCCGCAAUGAUUUCUAGUAUUGUUGACAAUAGGACUUCACAAUUUUAUCUACCUGGUAUAUACAAAAAUGCAGAAAUGCAUAUUUGAACAUUUUGACAGUUUGCUAGAGUAUGGUUCUCAAUUGUCCAUAUAAGAAGGGCCUCUCACAGUUGGAUCUCUCUGGAGUUGCUUUUCCCUCUCCUUAAGGUACUGAAGAAGUGGUUGCUGCUCAUUUCUUAUGUCUGUCAGAGCUCGACACGCAUAUGGGCUUGUUCUUUGGUAACCAGAGAAACCUGGAUCUAGAGGGAAACCUGGAUGCAAUGUCGAGGGACUAGAAGCCUCAGGAGUUCCCCAUUGACUGAAAUGGUGAAACUUUGAAGUAUCAUAACCGUACAAGUUUCCAAGGUUACUAGGAGGAUGAACAUAAUUUGGCCAACCAUGAUGCUCCAGGUUAUGACUUUCUCUAUACUGACGAAGCCAUUCAGAUGAAGUCAUUCGAUGUUGAGUUGGGUAUUUGUCUAUGAAACUCGGAAUGAUAGGACUGAAAUUAGGUGGCCCUUGAGUAGCAGUCCAAUGUGGAUAGCUGGUUACUUCUGAAUAGGAUACAUCAGAAGCAUUAUUGGCCAUGCUGAUCCCCUCAUUAAACCAAAUGCGAUCAUCAUCUAGCACUAAAGGAGGGGCUGAAGGCACAGGAGCUGUAUAAGAAGCCAAAGAGGAUAGGGUGCUUGCACAUUCGUGAUGGCUGAAAGAAUCUUCAUUGCCAUUUAUGGAUAGGCCAAUCAAAGAUUCUGAAGCUACUUCCUCAAUAGGGCUCAACCUUGAGCCAUGUUUACUUGCUCCAUCUGUGCUUUUCUCCCUGCCGUUGCUCAAACUGCCCCUGUCAAAGACCCAAGCAUUAAGGGAGGGAGGCCCAGCAGCUACUGGAGUUUCCGAAACUGGCUGUGCUAUUGUAUCUGUCACAACAGGCUGCUGCUGCUGCUGCUGCUUAUAUGACAUGUUGCGCCCAAAAUGAGUCAUGUCAAUAUGGAAAGAAUAAGGAUCACUCUGAGCUGGGUUUUGUGCUAUAAGAAGUGAAGUAGCACGGCGCAAGCAUUCAUCCGAAGGUACAUUUUGAUCCAAUGAAUGUUUCGGAGAGGUUGGGUCCUUCAAAGUAGAGGCAAUACUGAUUGGUGCUGAAUUACGUCUAGUAAGAGGCCUGAAAAGAAUAACUUCUUCCUCUUCCACAGAAAUAGAGCUUGGAUUUUCCCCAUCACUCAUCAGUUUCUCACAUUCUUCUGGUGCUUUGUCAAUCUUCUCACCAAGUAUAUUCAAUUCAACAUCGGAGUUGUUGGACUCCAAUCUUCCUGACCCUUUCUUGUCCGGAUAUCCAUUUGACCCUGUCACGAGGCAUUUGCAAAAUUUUCUUUCAGACUUGUCAUAGGCAAUCCACUUUUGAGAAUCAGUUGAUCUGUCUGCAAUUUUGAUUGCGGCAUUGAUGAUACGCUGAGAACGAUAAUCCAUUCCACUUUCAUAAUUGUCCAUAUGUUCCCAAUGAGAUGAAAAAUCUAGUAAUGCAUGUGAAGUAGCUAGUGGUGCAAAGCCCCUCAGCUCAUGGUCUUCCCACAAAGGAACACCUUCUGUAUACUUUACCUCACCGCCAUUGACAUUCAAUCGCUUUAGGAGAUUAAAAAAUUCACCAAAAAAGUAGGACAUAGCACACCUACUUUUCUCAUCAACCCCAUAGGUUUCUGCUUCAUCAAAAAUGAAGACCAGCCAUUCCACAAAAACAAGCACAGCUGGUAGAAGGGGGCAGGUUUCGAUUGUGCUAGCCUUCAAACAUCUUUCAACACAGCGUCCCAUAAAAAUAAAUGUGGCAGUCAAUGCCAACUGUGUCAACUCCAUCUGAUGCAUAUCAGUUUGCUUCUGCAAGUCUAUUGUUUCUGUUUCUGGCCUCUUAACUAGAUUCUGUAUGAUAAAAAUCAGUACAGAAACAACCUGGAGCACUCGAUAAGGGCCUCGUCUAACUGAAUCCAUGCGCUGAUAUGAUUCCAAAGGGGCAUUUAGUUUUGUAUCGUCUAAUGCCAUCAAUGCAUCCAACUCCUUCAUAGUAGAUGCGAAAGCACGAGGGAAUUCAUCCACACUGCCUCACAUGAAAAGGGAAGUAAAAUUAAACGGAACUUGAGCAACAAAGAAAUAUUUAUGUAAUACUGAAUCGGCAACAUAAGAAUAUAUGCAAAUGCAAAGAAGUUCAAUGAGACAAAACUAGAUUGCCUCGAUUACGUUCUUCCCCAUGACAUCAGGUCCCUUGAGCAAUAUGAAACAAGUUUAUAACUAGACAAUAACAGUCUAGGCUCAAGUUAAAAGAAUGUAAUGACCUCAAGGCGCUGAAUUUAGGACAAGUAGUAGAAACAGUAAAAUCAAAAGAUUUCAUAGGUUCCCAAUACAACUCUCUUUGAAAAGAUAUGAACCAGUUAAAACGAAUUAGGGAGGAUCACAAUAGAGCAUGAGAUGCACCACCGGAAAUCAAAGGUACAACACAGCAACAUGACACAUUAAUGAAAUUUGAUGCAGUCUAAUGCAAGUACCUCAAUUUCAAGUGGAGGAAACUAAGCGUCCUGAUCAUAAGAGGCCAUAAAUCUGUAUCCAUUUCAGCUUUCAGCAUAUUAUCAUUGCUUUCCUGCUUAGUAAUCUGAACACUGCUUCUUUCAGAUGGAUUUAAGAAAUUAAAUUGGCACUCGCUUGAAAGAGAAUGUAAAUGAGAUGACCUGUUCUGCAAGAUCAUAAGAAGCAAAUGAGAAGUGCUAUAUGUGGAUAUCAGAUGGUGAUCUGCAAUGUAUCAAAUAAUAGUACGUCUGGCUUUACCUUUUCAAAGAGUAAGGUGAGGUUAUCCUUGGCCUCAGGAAAGGGAUUUUUAACAGCUAGACUUCGUAUACAGUGGUAUAAAGCGAGGAAUUCAUCACCAAUGUACAUCGCCAAUACAGCUAACUGCAAAUGUACAUAUCAUACAGCAACUUAAUUUUUAAGAAACUUCUAAGAAAUGAAUAAAUGAGAAAAUAUUAUGACUGUACCUGAUUUUGGGGGUUUCCACUGUCUGGCCAAAUUCUUGUUGCUUCCAAGUAGUGGGUGGCUGCAACUGACCAAUUUCGGCUUUGGACUUCAGGUUUUUCAUAUUGUUCUUUAUAUCUAGCAAGAUCCCCGAGGCAUACCAAAAAGCGAUGGCACAAAAAUUGGCACUUUUGCAACUCCCUUUUUUCCCCAGAGGUAAAUGUGCCUCCCUUUCUGUAAAGUACAGACUCUUCUGUGAGGCCAUUGCAUUCUCUUAUUUUCACAAUCAAAUUUUGGUAGAACUGAAUUCCUUCAGAUAGAAAGAGUUUAAAUCCUUCUAGAUAAGUAUCAUGUCGAGGCGCUGCUGAACUUCUCUUUAUUCUUUUACGAAAAUCAUCUAUAAGCUUAUAGUAAAGCUUCCACAAAGAAUACUCAAUGUCUUGAAGUUCCAGCUGUGCAUUAUCAUUCAGGAUGAUAUUCUCAUAACAAAAUCUCACUUUCCGGUACAAGUCCUGAACAUCAGAGUGCAAAAGACCUUUGGCAUGGAUCAGUGCCCACAACUGAUUCUCUUUGCUUGCAACCUGUUUCGACCACAGUUUCAAGAGUUUAGAUCGAAAACCAAUACAAGAGCUUUCUGCAUAAAGUGAACAAGUUAAGAACAUAUAUAGCUGCAGUAAAUCACCUCCAUUUUUUGUAUUUCUCUCUGAUCUUUGAACUGCGGAUUAGCCAUCAUGUCUCCUUUGUUCUGGCUGCAAUAUGAUUACCGCAUCACUCACCUAUUGAUAGAGAUCACAAAUCAGUUGAAUUUGCAGAAGCGUAAACAAAGUUAAACAGGUGAAACAGAAAAUUCUAAAUUGGACUAUUGGAGUCACCAAAACUGAUGUCAAAAGUUGCAAUAUCACAACUAAUGAAUCUCUCCUGAGAGGUUUCAGAGUUCAAACUAUGAGGAAACAAUUUUCACAUACAGUACCAGAUUACAAAACAGAAUUGCAUUUUCACACUUAUGAGCAUGAUCUGGGAAUUUGAGAUGGGACAAGAACCCGAGAAAAGACAAGUAGAAAUCAACUGCCAAGAAGUGAGGGAAGGGAGGCAUAUUUUCCUCAUUUGAUGAGAAGUAAAUUAAAAGUGAAAUCUACUAAAUUUCCAAAAAAUCAUUUGCAGAAAAGAAAAAGGAACAUAAGUAGACCUGGAUUAGACCUUUAACCGCACCGAAGAUAAUGAUCUACACCCAACUUCUAAAUGGAAAAUUAGUUCAAACCUGAACUCUACCUUAUACAUUGAACAUGCUUUCAGCUACCCACGUGAAAACCCCAAACUGAAAAGAAUUGGGAAAAUUCACAAUCAGCAGAAACCGCCAAACAAGAGUAAAGAACAGCAAAUGUAACCAAAACAAGCAACAUAAUGUAAGAAACCCAUAUCAAUUUCAACAAAACAAACACCAAGAAACAAAGUUUGCACCUUUAGAGAUGAAAAGGACACAGAAUGUUACCAAAACUACCAGAAGCAAACUCUUGUUGAGAACACACAGGAACAAGCUGAAAUUGAGAAGGAACCCAUUAGUUGAAGUCCGUAAUAUGCCAAUGUUGGAAGUUGAAAUUGAACCAAAACCAACCAAAGAAAAGAGACCCAUGAUGAAGAGUUUGCACACCAGUAGAAUAUGGCAGCUUCAGUUGUGAAACAGACAAAGUAAAUGGUGGCUGAUGAUUCUCCUCAGAAUAAUGUUUUUUUUUUUUGAUACUACUCCUCAGAAUAAUGUUGCUGUCUGCAACCUUUCCCAAUUUUCCAAUUUCUCUUCCCCAAUUCUUAGUCUUUGUUUGGAAUUGAAAAAAUUGAACAGUAAGAUCUUUCAAAUAAGGGGAAUAAUUUAGAGUGUGCCUUAUCAACAUAUCCAUGAUCAAAUCAAAUUUGAUCUUGUACUAAAUCAAAUGGAUCACUUGUGGUCCAAGGCUCCAAGCCAAUAAAGUGAAGCCCAAGUUUGUGUUGGGAUUAAUAGGGUACAUUAGAGGACAGUGGACACCACUCUCACUAGUACAACACGUGUGCUUUUGGAAGCGGCUGUGGUUGCCCUCUUUGGUGGUUGGGUUUGGAUAGUAUGUGCUCAUCGAAUGCUAAACAACAGUUGUAGUUUAGUCAUAACCCCCUUGGUCUUACUAGUAAUCUAAUCCAAAAUUUGUUGUUUAGUCAGGAGCUCUUAGUCAUAGUUCUAAGCUAAUACCAAUAUUGUAGUCUAUUCACAAGAAUUCUCGUCUAAUAAAUAAAUGUAAUAUUGUUACAUUUCAAGCUAACUGCGGGUGAUGCGUACUAAUUAUAAUCUUAUUAUAAACUAUUUUAUUCGAUUUAAAAUAAAACGCAGUUGAGAGCGAUCAACCUAGAUCUAUCGUUGUCAUCAUUAGGAUGAUGAGGCAUUCAAAAUUGCUUCAAAGAAAAAUAAUUGAGAGUUGUGGCAAAUUAAUGUGUGAACUUCUACUAUAUUCGUGCUCUAGCCAACUCAAACUGAAACAUUAUGGAACUUGGCACUGUGGUGCUGCCGCCACAUACAGUGGUAUGGAUAUAACAACACGAUUUGUUAACUAAAAAUAGAACCCCAUUCAUUCAUUCAUUCAAUGAUUUCGCCGUGGUGCUUAUGGCACUAGCUACCUUGCUGUGCAGAAAUGGAUUAGUCAUACAAGAAGCAUCUGCACAGAGUGCAUGUCGUAUACGCAUGAGGAAGACUAAUAAGGAGAGGGACGUGAUCAGACAAUGACCUUAGUCACUGAUUAUAUAUUCCGAUAGAGAAAUCGUAGCCGUCGACAUUCAAUAAGAUUAUAUAUGAUCGUGACUCUUGAGGAUUAAUUAGAACACAUCGAGAGUUUGAGAGAAAAAAUUCCACAAAAGACAUAUCAAAGUGGAGAAAUAAUUAAGAAUAGGUCAAGGAAAUGAGGGAGGACAUGGACGGAUGGGUCUACGUAGCAGUUGUUAGGUUUUGCUGAUUAGAACCCGUUGGAGCAAAAGAUUCAAACCUAAAAUGAAUGCACAUCUUCAUCAUCCUACUGUUGUUGGACUGGAGAGAAAAUGACUCAUGCAUGUUGCAGACUCUUCUGUUGUCUUCGAUUUCCCCGUACUCUUGAAUAGUUGAACUGUACGUUUCAGGAUUUAGAGGCAUCUGGAUUUGGGAUGUAGAUUUGUCGAUCGUAGAUUAUCAAGAAACUAUGCAUUGUGUUAUCUAUAAAUUAAGUAAGUCUGGCAUUAUAAAUUAACUCGAACAAUUCUAGCUUUCUGAAGUGAUUCUAGUUUGAGCUAAGUUCGACUUCUCGAUUAUCUUAACUUUGCUGAUUAGUUUGGAGUGAAAAUCAAUAUAAUUCAUCCAUGAUCCGCAUAUACGAUAAUCUUGGGCAGUAUUACGCAGCGAGCACUAUCGAAUAGAAACUUAAUAGAAGAUUAUAUAUACGUGAAGUGCUCGAGGUCUAGAGUGUUAUAUCAUACAAUAUUGAUCUUGCUUUAGGUUUAAGGCAUUCGAUCUUAGACCAUAUAUCAUGUCUGCAUCAGCAAGGAUUCUACAAUAUUGUGAUAAGUUCUUGUCUGUCCCCUUUAAUUUUCAUUUGCAGUUAUGGGGUCCAAAUUUUACCCUGAUAAUAAUGUGAGAAUAUGUUUUGGUUUGGAAAACCUGAAAGUUUGAAAAGGUUGAUCGAACACAGUACUAUACAUACAGCAAAUGAGCACUAACAGAGCAAAUUAAUUAACACGGACGAACUUGAUUAGCAAUUGGCAAAAGAAAGGUCCUCUCUACAUGGCACAUAGUUACAUACCUCCGAUUGCUUUUGUAGUUUGACAAGAGGAAAUUAGGAGCUUUGGAUUCUCAUUUCUCAAAUAGACUCGAAUGUAUGAACCGAAUUGGUUCGGUUUGGUUUGCGUGAAGCAACCCAACUAAACGGGCAAAACCAUAUCGGAUUUGAUUUCACCCAUACCCUACUUUGACAAUAUAUAGGAAACCCUACAUGUGCAAUUAAUGUUGUAGCACUACACCACUCAAUUAGAACAUCCAAACUAUGUCCUGUACAUCAGAAAUUCCAAAGUGUGUGUGUCUAUAUAUAUCAAAGUUUUUAGUGCGGAUUUCUAUUUUUUACAUCACUUCCCGAUCGAAUUUCCUCAAACUUCAUUCUAAACAUAUCUAGAUCAUCUUAUGUAGAUUAUCUCUGCAAAAUUUCAGCCAAUUUGGUGAUCGUUAAGGCCCUCAAACUUGCGUUUUUCUGUUAUAUACCUGAACCGGACAGAAUACAGGUCGUCGAUUUGUUUUUCGAUUUUGAGGGUCUUAACGAUAACCAAAUUGGCUGAAAUUUUGCAGAGAUGAUCUACACAAGAUGAUCUAGAUAUGUCUAGAAGGAAGUUUGAGGAAAUUCGAUCGGGAAGUUGUGCAAAAAUAGAAAUCCGCACCAAAACUUUGGUGCGGCUGACUGAAUUCUGUCCGGUUGUGUUCAUACCAUAAAAACUCGAGUUUGAGGGCCUUAAUGAUCACCAAAUUGGAUGAAAUUUUACAAAGAUGAUCUACACAAUAUUAUCUAGAUACUAGACGGUGGAGAUGAGGAAAUUCGAUCGAAAAGUGGUGCAAAAAUGGAAAUCCUCACCAAAACCAUUGGUGCGGACGUCCGCACCUGAUCAGCAUUGUGUAUAUAUAUAUAUAAGGAUUAUCAGGUGCGAACGUCCGUACGGGUUUUCCGUACGGAUUUCCGCCGUUUCUCCACCAUUCCAGCGCUGGCGACGCCGUUUCUUCUCCCCGGCGUGAUCUCAGACCUCCCCUGACGGUGUUGGAAUGAAGAAGAAGGCCGUAGAGAUCGCGAUCAGAGGUCCACCAUGAUCGGUUGUGAAGUUCUGAGUGAGAUUGCUGCACAGACCUCCGAUCGCGAUCUCUCCGGCCUUCUUCUUCAUUUCAACACCGUCGGGGGAGGUCUAGGAUCACGCCGGGGAGAAGAAACGGUGUCGCCGGCGCUGGAAUGGUGGAGAAACGUCGGAAAACCCGUACGGACGUUCGCACCAGAAACAGACUAUAUAUAUAUAUAUAUAUAUAUGUGCGUGUUAAUGGCAAACGAACUUCAUGCAAAUGUACUUGCGGGCCUUAGAAAGUUAAGCAUUUAAACAUAAUUAAACUGAAGCUUAAUCACUAUUUAAUCACAUGUAUAAGUAUGAAUUUGUUAAGUAGCUGAUCAAUGAACUAAAUUUUCCCCAGAAUUGCAUAAUUGCAUAACGAAAAAAUAAAUAAUAGAACACUCCCUUUGCGGCUUUGCCUCAAACUAGAAGGAAUUAGAGGGCAACUGAUAGGAGUAAUAAUCUUUUGUUCUUAAUAGUCUGAAUCAACUGAUAGGGGUAAUAUUGUCAUAACAUAAUUUAGUGAUUUAGAUCCUGCUUGCUUUAUAGUAGUACAGAUAACAAAUUUUUAUUUUUUAUUUUUAUUUUUUUACACGUUAAUAGCUAGGUGAAAUUUUGGAGUUUUCAAAUUUUCAGAUUCUCAUUGCUAAGUUUACUCUAUGACCACCGAAAUACGAUUAGGUCUGACAUGACUAAUCAGUUGGUUUCGUAUUAAGCAGCCAAUCAUCUUCCUAUGUGCUUUUAUACAUGGACUCCAUAAUUAAGCCUGAUCGUAUAUAUAUAAGUAUAGGGUUUGGUUGGAAAAUUUUAAAAAUUUUGAAAAGAUUUGUAACAUCGAGCAAUAAAAAUAGUAAACGAAGACAAACAUAUAUACGGGAUCAAUUGAAAUUCACCCAUACCCUACUUUGAUAAUAGGAAACCCUAGCGAUCUACUCGUGCAAUGUUACUAGCAUAAACCCACAUGCAUGUGCAAUGUUGUAGCACUAGACCUUCUUAUUUGAACAUCAAAACCAUUAACCAUGCAUGUGUUAAACACCAAAAGUGAUCAACAUGAGUUGAUGGCAUGAGUUGAUAGCAACUGGACUCUGAGACCGGCCGGCGUCAACUUGUACAACGUGAACAUGCAUAUCAUCAGCUACGACGCCCUAAUUCCAGUAAAGGUACCGUGUGACCGCCGCGGCAACUCCUACUACGCCUGCAAGAGCAGAAGCCAGGGCAAUGUUAACGUAAGAAGUUGCACUUCCAUUACUCGUUGCACUCACAACAGAGGCCGGCAAAAUUGAAGAAGCUAGCUUGCUAGCUAGAACAAGAAUAAGAAGUAAUUCGUCCAGACUUGGACAUUAGUAAGACGACUAUUCUUGUAAUAGUAGGUAUGAAAGCCAAAAAUUUAUCGAUUAGCUCUCUCGUAUGCUGCGUAUUUCAAUUCUUUUUUCUUUUUUCGUUUUUUUUUCGUUAAUAGCUAGAUGAAAUUUUGCAGUUUUCAGAUUUUCAUAUUCUCAUUGCUAAGUUUACUCUAUGAUCACCGAAAUACGAUUAAGUCUGACAUGAAGCUGGUAUCUUACUAUAUCUAUUUUUGAGAUCAGUGCUUCAAAACUAAUCAGUUGGUUUCGUAUUAAGAAGAAACCAAAAGAAAUUUUGUUGGAUCCUUGGCAGAAAUGAUGGUUACGUAGUGAUCAGAAACUAGAGGACAGAAACAAAAUUAAGGAGAAAGAAACGGGCAAAAUUAAAUCACAAAGAAAAGCACAGCCACCAAAAUAAGAUAUUUCCUUUUUUGUCCAAAGAUCUUCAUAACCCGUCACCUUAUUUUCUUUAUAUAUCUCAGUCCCUCUCCCUCAUACUUCAAGGAAGGGCAGAGACCAAUUGGAAGCCACUUUAAAUUCACAGACCUCUUCUGUUUGUCCACCCAAAAAUCUGGAAAUAUGGAUUUCAAAUCCUGCCUUGUUGUGCUCCUCUUGGCCCUAGCCAUGGUGGCUGCAGUAGAGUCGUCAACGAUAUCGAUGCACGACGCCGCCUGGGGUCUCAAACACAGCCGCGACGACGUGGGUGACAUGAUCGGACAAGAUAAUGAGAUGUUACUGGACUCGGAGGUCGGCCGGCGUCAACUGAUGGCAAAUAAUGUCCGUUAUAUCAGCUACGGUGCCCUUAAGAAAAACAAGGUACCGUGUGGUCAGCCCGGAGCAUCUUACUACAACUGCAACAGGCAGAACUCACAGCAGGCCAAUGUUUACCGCCGUGGUUGCUCAGUCGCCACCCGUUGCGCCCGCUCCAACUGAAGAAGCUUGAACAAGUUUCGUCCAGAUUUGUGUCAUGGAAAUCAGUAAGUGGGGAUCAGGAAAGCCAAUUGUGUCGAUCACCACUCCCUUCUGCUGAAUAUUUUAUGUGUUUUUUCUUUUUGACGUUUUUGGAUAAAUAAAUACACAAUUUUCACCAUUUUGAAUCAGCUCGAUCUCUUGCUAAGGGUUUACAAUAUGUAAGGAUUAUAUUAACUAUAAUAUAUUAUAAGUUCUUGUCUGUUCCCUUUUCAUUAUUUGCAGUACUUGUAUAUAUACGGGGUUCCAUUUUAAGUAGGAUAUAUAGUAUAUGCCAGGAUAGCUAGGUUUUGGUUGGAAACUCUUGAAACUUUUGAAAAGGUUUAACACACCAAUUACCAAAAAAUGAUCGAUCGAGUUACUAUGGCGACUCACUUGAAUAGCAAAUGAUAAAUUUGCUGAAAAGGAUAUGAUGUAGGUACAAACAGGCCGGUAUAUAUAGAUCAAUGUGACAAUGUGGGAAAAGAAGUCCUUGAUAACAGGCUUAAUUCGGAACUUCUGAUCGAGGUUGCAAAUUGGCUCGAUCAAAUGUAUCAAUCAAAUCAAACGUACGUAGCGGGAAAUUAGUUCGGUUUAAUUUCCGCAGUGGGAAACAAAUCUAAUGUAACCGGCAAGACCAUACCGGAUCAAGUUGAUUUCACCCAUGCUUACUUUGGCACAAUAGUGUUCGAUCACCUAGUCAGUUGGUGACCAAAAAUUUCAUGAUCAAUCAUCAUUAGGUUUACAUUCAAGAGUUGAAAACAAAACAACCUUACUUAAAAAUAAUUCUCUCUACUACUAGAUUUACAUUCAAUGGUGGUUAAACAUAAAUCUCUCAGUCCGUUAGUGACCAUGUGAACAUGGUUGUACUCUGACAAUGGAAACAUGGCUACUUUGUGCAAAGUUACUACGUACAUAAACCCACACGCAUAUUGUACGUGCAAUGUGUUGCAGAACUACGCCUUUAAAUUUGAACAUCCUAACUAUGUUUUGAACACCAAAAGAGCUCAUGCAAUAUGUGCGUAUUGAUCGCAAGGUUUACAUAGUAAUUGUUAGGGCAAGAGUCAACCAAACCUAAUUUGUAGUGAAUUCCAAGGGAAGCAUAAAUAUUUUUUUUCGAUCAUCAUGCUAACAGUAAAUAUUAGAGGCUGAGAUCGAUCACUACAAUGGCAUAGAAUAAGUUUCACAUACACGUGCAUUGUUGCUAGCUACCAUAACGUUACAACAACCCACUGAGAAAUAAAAUGGUUUUACAUUCUAAUUAAGGACUUAAUAGUUAGAAACACAAGCAACAUCUAAGUCUUAAACAAAGCUAUGCCAUGCAAUAAUCUUCAACGGGAGCCCGAUAUUGCGCUAGAUCACAAACCCUCAACAACCACCAAAAACCAAGUCUCUAACUCCCUUCUUUUUCUCACAAUCUUUAACAUAAUUAAGAGCCCUCUCCCCCCUUUCUUUCAUACAGAAAUUUUUCCCACCCCAAACAGGAAGGGCAGUGAAGAACUUAGAAACCCCUCUCUAAACAAACGCUUUUGUGUUUGUGAACCCUUUUGCACCCGUACGUAUAUAUGGACUUUAAGCUCUGCCUGGUCGCGCUACUCUUGGCCCUGGCCGUAGCGGUCGAGGCCGCCAAACUCCAUGAUGUUAGCUGGGGUCUGGCCCGCUACAGCCGCGACUCAUCCCUCGUCCAGGCCAACGUGGGCGACGUCAUUGGAGAGGACAACGAGAUGAUGCUAGACUCCGAAUCAAGCCGUCGCACACUGGCUGGACGAACCAGGUACAUCAGCUACGGUGCCCUAAAGAGGAAUCGCAUUCCAUGCCGCCGGCGUGGUGCGUCGUACUACAACUGCGGUCGACCCAACCAGCAGGCUAACACCUAUCGUCGAGGUUGCAGUGUCAUCACCAGAUGCGCUAGGUUUAACUAAAAAGCUAGAAGAAGAUGAAGAGGAAGAGAGGGGAAUAAAGAAGUUGGACUAGAAAAAUUGAAUAAAGAUGAAGAUGAUCCUUUAGGUAAUAUUGCGUGUAAUAUAUGUUUUCUUUUUUUUGAAACGAAUGUGUAAUAUAUGUUUGAGCUAAAUAUAUGCGGGUGCAAAAGGGUUCCUCCUCUUCUUCUCGCUUCUGUAUAAUUACUAUGGCCAUUUUUAAGGGAAUAAAAACCUAGAUAUAAAUGUAUAUAUAUUAUAUACAUACUUAGAUGUGAUAUCUGUGAUUUUUUGCAUAAACAGAGAUAAACAAUAUAACAACUUGGUUAAUCAUAUAUAAAUAUAUAAAACAAAUAUCGUAAUUUUGUUGUCAAUGUUAUAAAUUUGGUUAAAGUAACUCGUAGUUUUUAUUUCGAUUAGUUAUAAAAUAAGUGGAUGAUAUAUUUCAACUAUAUGUUGUACAAAAAGCAAUUGACGAUGUCUAAAUCAAAAAGCCAAAAACAAAAACUUUGUGAUGGUCUUUUUCUAUGGAUGGAAAGAGAUUCGAUCUGGUUAUCGACCUACUAUAUAUUUUACAGAACAAAUGCUUGUUGGCUUCGAGUUAUGAGUUUGUAUAUAUUUGAUUGGAAGAAAAACUCAAAGUGGGAUUCUAUAUAUUCUGGAUUAUUAUAGCUUUUAGAAAACUGAGGACGAAGGCCGUUGAUGAAAAGCAACUGAAAAAUGUAGUGAAAGACUGAAAGCUUCAGUGAGGUGAUAAUGUCAUAUCACAAAGCAUCGGCCAGAUGAGAUAGCACUAUACUCGAUAACUCGAUCCAAGGCUGACAGGUCUAUACCUGCAAAUAAGGUUUGGCUCUUUCUUUCUUUAGUUUAUAUACCCCUUUAGCCUUUAGCCUUUAGCCUAUAGGUAAGUAAUAUAACGUUAUAUGGAUCAUAGGGGAUACCUAAUUAGAAACUAAUAAUACAAAAAGUCUAAGAUGGAUAAUAGGUAAAUUAUAUUCUGAUGCUUUGAAAUUUAGGUAUAAGAUUGAAUUGCUGUGAUAAGCAGGUGGAUGAAGAUGAAUCUAUUUUUCGGUACAAUGACUACAAUCCAACAUGAGUCAUCAAUCUCAUCAUUGACUGAUGAUAAGUCUACAGGCCGAGCUCGAAUAUAAUGCAGAUUGCUCAACAAGUAAAGGGAAGUUCUGAUGAAAUCUUUAUAAUACGUUUGAAACUUCUGUUUAAUUUUCUGAUAACGUACUGGUUUUAAAACGUACUAAACAGUUUUUGUUUUAGAAUAUAUAUACAUAUGAUUGGUUUUACACAAUUUUUAUCCACACUCGAAUUGUGUCGACAAAGUUAUCUUAUCAGGUCGUUAUUGGUUACUAAAACUCUUUAUUGAUUAGAAAAUAGUAGACCAUUAAUGUAUCGAUACCAUAAAUAUGGUGUAAUUUGAUUGCUACUAAUGUAUCGAUACAAUAAUGUACCUAAAUGUAACAUGUUCGGUCGGUAAGUAGUGUUUACAUGAUCAAUGACCAUUAAAUUUACAUUCAAGGGUUGAAAACAAAACAACUUUACUAAAAAAUAAUUCUUCUCAACUCUUAGUCAGUCACUGACUAGGUGAACAUGAUUGUUCGAUCCGCAAUCUUAUGUUUGAAGAUGCAAAUUAGAGAGGAGAAACUUUCAAAGUUUGCAAUCAAUUGCCCACCAAAUCAUACAGGCAUACAAUACUCUCGUAGUGUGCAAAGUCUACAAGCCUCGCCCACAAAAGCAAACAAACAAAUAAAGCACAAAGAGGCCAACGCCUACGCCAGGUUUUCUGGCUUUCCCUCUUUUCCUUUCUUUCAUCAUCACAACACCCACUUCCCCCUUACACUUUCACUUUCUCAUGCCCCCAUUCAAUUAUACUUCUCUGGUCUUUUUAGAGUCAAGAAGCCAUUGUUGGAUUUCAACAGAGAAAAACCCGACUACCUUUGCUGCUUUGCAUGAUCUCUUUUACACCAAUUCAAACCAUCUGGUUGAACUUGAAACUAGAGUACAAAAAGAAAGUUCCAAAAUUUUCACAGCCUUAAACAAAAUUAAGUAAUUAACCCUCCUCAUCAAAGCUCAACUAAAUUUGUUUCAUCCCCACACAGGAAAGGGAAAACAGAUAAGGAUAGGUCAUAGGUCAACUAUAUCAGUCUGAGCUUUGCUGUAGAUUAGCUUAGGCAAGCUAGCUAUGGACAGAAAUAUGCAGCAUGGGACAACUUCAAGUUGGACCAGCAUAUAUCAAGAGGUCACUUUCUCUUCUAUGAUAACCUAUACGAUUUCAUAGAUCUACCAUGCCAAGACCAUGAAUAUGUAAAGCUCUGUGCUUAUAACAGUGCAAGUGCAAACAUACACCACAACAAGUACAUAUUUUGGACACAAUAACCUAAACAAAGCUACAAGCCUACAAAGAACAACAAGCAGGGAGAUUAUGUACACCAUUUAUGCACUAAUCAGUUUAUUAACCUAAAUCCUCCAUGCUUAAGCAAUAAGCAGCUGCAGGAAGAAUGUAUCAUCUAUGCACUAAUCACCUAAACCGCUUAAACAACCCAAAUUGUAAAAUCAAUAGUAAAUCUAUGAUAAGAGCCAUGUACAUAUGAACAGAAAUCUCUGUCUUGGCUUCUCUGUCAUCUUUAUCUUACUUGAGAAAAAAUACAAAACGGGUCUAAGAUUCCUUGCCCAAUCUUCUUAUCUUUCUUUGACAGCUAUCCCUAGCCUCCUUAUAAAAAAAACCAGAACUGUUUCCCCUUCCACUCUUCCAAGGUAACCAUCAAUGCCCAAAAAUAAUGAAGGUGAAUUAGAUCCUGCUAUUUAUUUACUUCAGUAUUUAUUGAAAAUAGAAGGGGUAGACAGACAAUACCAGAAGAGCUAGUAACUCUUCCCCCUGCAAUUUAUGGUGAUCCAUAAUUCCCAUUCAAUUCUCACUUCCCCCACUGACUAUUUCCCCAAAUGGUUUCCUGCUUCAAAAUUCAAAUUUAAGAUUAUUAUUUUUUUUCAAUCAUAAAUUUAACAGUUUCACCUAGUUAAGGUAAAAGCUUUUAACUUGAAUGAUCAAUCAAUCCCAGUAAAUUUUUCAAAUUUUACUAAAGAAACAGAGACAUUCAUGGACUGAAAUUUAACAAUUGAUACAAAAGAUUCUCUCUUUCAUUCAUUCUCAGCAAGCAUUCGAUUACAAAGCUCCUACCUUCCUCCUCUCCUCUCCUCAUCAUCAUCAAUGUCAACAAUAACCAUAGUAAAAUUACAGAGAGAUUUCAAAGCUGGGUUCUUUUUUAAAAAAAAAUCAAGAAGAAGAUGAACCUGAAGCUCUAGGCGACGUCGUUGGGAACAAAGGCAGCAGUCGAGGCUCCGAUUCUCUCGGCGUCGUACUCGGCGACGGGUGCAAGUAAAACCCUUUUUCCUUGAUCGCUUUCUCUUCAGCCUCCUUGUUCAACUGAGAGCAACCAUGCCCGAGACUCCCGGACCCGGCCCGGUCAAACGGGUCAGGUAUGAGAGGAGUGACGGGGCUGAGCACCAGUGCCGGGAAAUCGAGAAUGCUCGGGGACAAAAUCUCCGGGUUUCGGGGCGAGAAACCGGAGUGGCCGUUGGAAUUGGAGUUGAAGACAGGGAUUGGGGUUAGGGGGUUGAGGCGGAGUUGGUUUUUGAAGGCGUUGUUGCGGCGCUCGUAGAGCUUGAAACCGGAGUUGUUGUUGUGUUGGUGUUGGUGCUGUUGCUGUUUCUUGGGAGUGGACUUGAUGGGCGGGAUGUUGUGUUUGGAACACGCGACCUUGUUGGCGGUUUCGGAGGAACCGGUGAGCAUUUGGACGACUUGCUUGAAGGAGUUGGUGUCGGCCUGGACGAAGGUGGUCGGGUAAGGGUUAGCGGGGUCGGAUCUGGUCAUGGGUUUUGGGGGUUGGGCAGUUGGGGUUGUUGGGGGAGCUUGGAGUUGGAGUCCAUUAACGUUGUUGUUGUUGUUGUUGUUGCUGUUGGUGCUGCUUGUGCUGCUGUUUGGGGAGGGCAGAGAGUUUGGGUUUGGAUUGGUCUCUCUUCUGGGAGAGAUUUCCAUUGAUGACGAGGAGGGGUCUGAAAUUGAGAGAGAAAUGAGUGAGGAGAGAAUAAGAGGAAGAAGAAGAAGGGGGUGAGAGUUGUGAUGUUACCUUGUUGCUGCUUUUGGUUGGUUUGGUAAGAAAUGUAUUGGUGGGGACUUUUGAGUCUUACUGCUGAGAAGAAUCGCACGCGCCGUGAGGAGGGUGUUGGAAACACGGAGUCGGAGGGAUAUAGUUUUUAUAGAAUUUACAUUUCAGACAAAUAGAGGAACAAAAUUAAAUGUGUUUUGACCGGAUUAAAUGAAAUGUGUUUCGACAGUUAAAUGAUAUACAUUUUCUCAUAGUUUUUGCCUUUUUUUCCAACAGGUAAAAAUAAAAAUUUAUUUUUUCUAUUAUGAAUAUUUGGUUUAAGUAUUUUUGAUGCGAAUCAUAAUGAUCAGUUGAUCGUAAUGUUCAUGCAUGUAUAUAAUUGUAUAUGUGUGAGAAUUGAUCGGAUAUAUAUAUGUGGAUAACAUGUAUUAAAAUUCCUUUUUACGUUACUCGUUAAGCAUCAUAAAUAUUAAAAAUCGUUUGACGUUGUAAAUAUAGAUCAAACCGAAAUGUUAAUCUUACGAUCGUCGUUUUUAGUGAGACAAAAAUAUCAUACUUGAAUUUAUGAGUUAUCAUUUAGUAAGAAUAACUUGAAAUUACAUGUUUUAUAAAAUUGAUGCCCGUUAGAGCUUUUUUUAGUACACUGCAUGUACCAAAAUACUAAUUUUAUUCAAAUGAUUGGUUUUUAGAUAAUAUUCUUAAAACAUCGACGUAUUUUUAAAUAUUCUACUUAAGAACAGUACAAAAAAUUGAAAGUAUCAAACUACAUCGUUAGAAUCCCCAACUUGACAUCUAUUUGGUCAAAAGAGUCAUCUAUUAAUAUUAUUCAUGCACAUAGUUGGCAAGUUAUCAGUAUUGGUAUGAGGCAUCUAUUUUAUAAGAUCAUACGUACUUCGAUACAUAUUUAUUUUUGUAUAAAUGAUUUAUCAUAAUACCUGAUUAUUGCUAAAUGAUCGAAACUCUAUAUUCUCCAAAGGCUUAAAAGCUCAACCCGUCACCGCUAACCACACACUAAAAGGCCGUCCAUAUUUUGACCAUUAAAGUUUUAUUGGAGAUCGGGCCUUCUUAUUUGGGUUAUGAAUAUGUGAUUAUUAUCAGCAAAGGCAAUCUUUAGGUGUUGGUGAUGACAUGUUAUAACUUGUAUGUUAAGGUAAAGCAAGUUUUUUUGGUAGAGUAAAUGACUCAGAAUAUGAAUCUUAAUCUAACGAAGAUUUUUGUUUCUAAUACGUUUCACCUCAACAGUUUUAACAGGUUCGACAAAUCAUCCACGAACCUGUCAUACAACGGAUAAUAACGAUCGAGCUCGUUAAGACCGCCGGUAACCUGCCGUGACUGCUGAUUUGCAAUGUGAGUGAAUGUCCAUGUCCAUAAAGGACUAGAGGACUAGAACCUCAUAGGUGCGCGUGGGCGUGAGUCAAAAAGAAGUGUCCACUAGUCCUCUGGUAAACUGCCAUUGGUGAUGUUCGGAAUUUCGGACAAAACAUAACACAAUGGGGUUCCUGGACCCUCCCCCCUUUCUUUGUCCCUCUGAGACUCCCUCUCACACUAUUUCUAUACUAUAUUUUCAAAGAAAUCGUCAAAAAGAGUUUCUAAUUUCCCAUUGACUUUUCUAAACCCCCAAUUAACCUAACCGCGGUAACUAUCACUAAUAUAAGCAUGAUUAGUUCUUCUAACAAAAACCAAAACUUUGAUGCUUCCUAGGUCCUCCAACAUCUGCCUUGUGAGAUUACCAAUUUGCCCCUGCCCUGACCCAUGACCUUCACAUAGUGUCAAUAUCUGCAGUCUACGACACACAGUGUGGUGUUUGUCACGUUGCCAAUUAUUAAGAAUAGGACACUACAGCCCCUGUUAUUGCAAGUACACCGUCUUUUCGAACCCCAUUUGAUUUUCCGGGACGAGUAGACAUUUCUUGCACCCUAUAAGCUUUGAGCAUAAGAACAGCGAGAUCAUUAUUUCUUCUAUAGUUUAGUUAAUUAUGGAUAUAAUCGCAUCGGAUCAAACUCCGAACACCCUUUUGUCCUAUCGAAAGGAAAAGGUAAAGUAUGUUUUGAUACGUCUCACAACAUUUUACUACACUCGAAUUAAUCUUCGUUGUCAAGUUGUUAAUAAAGUUUGCGAUGUGUUUCAUACAAUGAAUUAAUCAAACCAUAAUUUCUUCCAGAUUCAAGAACUCGAUAGCAUUACAUGAAUCGAUUGCUUAAUAAAAAAAAAAAAAAAAGAAUAGCGAGCGUGUGAGCUUUUCAACUCUAUAGAUGCUGCAUGGGUUUACGGUUUACGAAAUGGCAGAGACCUUGGGAUGUGGAUGUCUGCAUUUUCGAUGGCAGGAGAGCCUAAUUAGCUAGCUAUAGCUAGCUGCGGAAGAAAAGUUAAAAGUUAAUGAGAGGUAGAUUGUGACAUUGUCCUUGUGUAAACUAGAAGCAAUAUACUGCGGCUGUAAAAAGGUGAAAGGACCACAGUCAAUUGUUUCGAUCAGACGCUUCUUCCAAGAUGUUUAUCUUGGUUUCUCGAUUCUCAAGUGCUUGCUUGUCAGACUUCUUUUUCUUUUAACUGUUUCCAAAAAUCUGGAUCGAUACCAGAUCGAUGAAACGUUGUAAUAAUGGAUGUCGUGCAUCGACAAUUCUUGUAUGCACCGUGUACAAAUGAACUAACAAUCAAAAUAAAAUCUCAGCCAUUCAUUUGAUCUGAUCUUUAUUUGGCACUAACACCUAUGAUAAUACCGUUAAAAAAACAAAUAAAAAACAAGUUAACGCCUCUUCUUCUUAACUCUCUCUCUCUCUCUCUCUCUAUUUUCCUAUCCUUCUCUGAAAGUUUCACUCUUUCUGGGUUUCUGCCAUUGAUGAUGGCUUUCCCCAUCUGUCUAGUUUUGUUAUUCUUUGAUUUUUUUUGUUUUUGUUUCCGUCAUAAUAGAUGUCCCCCCAAAUUGAUUGAUUGAUUGAUUAGAAUAAGUUUUUCUUGCAUAUGCCCAGAAGCUCGAAAUUGUGUGCAGCAAUCAAGAAAUCCAUGACGGAAAAAAUCGAUGUUGAUCGAAGAACAUUCUCCCUCCAAGCAAGUCUAUAUACAACUAGCUGCAUUAUUGAAUUUAGUUUAUGAUGAGGGGAAGGAUUUCGGGCUCGGAUCUGAUCUCGUCAGGACGACGUCGCAUUUGUCCGAGUUGAAGUCGCGAAUCUACUUCCUGGCGACGGCGGCGGCGGCUAUCAGAUGAACACUUACACGGCGGGAGAUGACGUUGGCGGCCAUAGUUCGAUCUGAAUCUAAUGAUGGGGUUUAGAGAAGCACCGGAAGUGAGGUCGAGGAGGAACCCAGAAGAUGAACAAAUGACAAACACUGGCGUCAAGCCUUCAACCAAGCAAACGUUUUUCGUUAGCUCACGUGACUUACACAUGAGUGGUUCAUGUGUAUCAUGGUGCACUGAAUCCGCUCCGUGUUCUUUGUAAAGAUAACUUAUGAUACAUUCGUUUAAAACAAUUCACCGAACACUUUAUCUAUAUAUAUUUUUUGAAGUAAAACACAUAAAUAUGGAUAACGAAGAGUUAUAACUCUAACGUACACUCUGGCGGUGUUGAGAGGAGUAAAUCUAACUUCACCGGAUCACUAGUCCGUCGAGGAUAUUAGAUGGGGAUUGAGGAUCCAUGCAUGUCCACAUUUUGCCCUAUACACACAUCUGUGUAGUGCAGUAGAUAACCAGCGAAAAUGUCAGAUCGAAAAUGUCAGAUCGUCAGAUGUAGCCACUGGGCACGUUUAGAAAACUUGCAAGAUUGAGUUACUUCAGAAGACGCAGACAUUAUGCAAAAUCUUGGAUCUGAAUAGCAUUAGAACCCAUAAUCUGAAAAUGACAGGACCUGAAAAAUCCAGCACGUUCGUACAUGCAUAUACAGAAACCUAACCUUGUGUGUUUUUCUAGUAUUGAGAUGGGCUGCAAAAGUAUAAUAUGGGCCGAGGAACCAAAGAACGUUCUCAAAUUGAACUCGCUAUUUUUGCCAUUUUCCCAUAAGCCCAAAUGAAUGACCUCGUUGAAAUGACCAUCACAAAUCCAAUUGCAAUCAUCCCCAAGUCCCAACGGACAUAAUAAGGCCUUGCAAUUUUACCCGACCAGAGAGGACGCAAGAAACUAUUAAUCAUGAUCUAGUAGUGAACAAUAUUAACACUGUGUUCUAGUCAAGGAGGUGAAAAACCAUGGUCUUGCAUAAGGAUUUAUGGAGACACCGCUAGCUAACCUCACUUGUCACGCUCAUUAUAGUCCGUAUAUGUGACAAUCAUGGGUUAGAUUGCCAUGAAUCUUACUGUUCCGUAUCAAGUAUCGACCAUAAGUAGCUUUAUUGGGAUGAAAUAGGUUACCUUAUUCUUUUUGUUUGGCUAAAAAGAGAGAUAAAAGAGGCAUAAAAACCCAUUAUCAUCCAUGUUAUUAAAGAAAAAAGAGAUACAAUGGGGAACGAAGCCAUAACCUUCAUAUAAGAAAACUAAAUAGCUCAUGAUUUAAAAAAUAAUAAUAAUAAUUCUAUAUCAUUUACCACGUCACCUUAAUGUGUGUUGAUUUUAAACUUGCAAUUAAUCUAGACCAUUGAAUGUUAUAUAAUCUAAUGGUGUCAAAAAUAGUGUAAAAAAGAGUGUCCUUAAACCGGACCCUAAUAAUAAUAGAGUCAAACUAACGAAAACGGAAUUGAGGAAGACCCAAAACAGUUACGAGUGCAAACCAAUACAAUAAAAGAAGGAGUCACAUCCCAUCAAAUUAACUAAAUUGUUGAAGUAGUACCAUGAUUUGCUAAUAAGUUAGCAACUCUCUUACCUUCACGAAAACAAUUCUACCCUUGUAUACUCUAAGCUGCCAUGGCACAAGAUGAGGUGAGUGAAGAAAUAGGUUACCCCAUUCUUCAAGCAAUCAUAGGAUUUGGAUUUGGAUGGCUGGAAUCUCAGCACCCUGCAGGGUCGCAGGCACUACCAUUGCACUCUCACUUUUCCGUAACUCCACUUUCCCAUACUCGAUCAUAUCAGAAUAUAUUACACCGGUCGGCCUGCGGUCGGUAUAAUGUUGAACGGAAUUUAUGAUCGAUGAAAUAGUAUAUUCAGUCGGUAAGUUUUGACCCAGUAAAUAUCAAGAAGAUCAAGAUUAGUUCAAGUUAUAACUAGCACCAGAAGUCGUUGAUUAAUGCUGUUAAUGAAUACGUAAGAUUGAUCAAAACGAUGAACUCGGGAUCCAAAGACGAGUUAAAGUCAAGCAUCAAUCCAGAGUUGCAUUGGUUACUGAUCAGCUAGCUGGUUUUAAAAAUUUAGCACAAUCUGCAGACUCUGUGAAAGUUGACCUGCAGGAGUAAUAUAACCAUAUAUCUUUCUUCCUCCUCUGCUGGAUAUCCUUAGCAUAAACUCACAGUUCAUACCCAGAAUACUAUUUCUCCUUUUGUACAGAAUGAAUUUACAGACUAGUUUAUUUACGCAAUUAAUUUCCGGGUUGGACGCAGCUACCCUGAAGCUAUAGGGGCAAUGGAGUCUGUGAAAUCAAUAUUCGACGAGUGCCCUAAACUCGAGGGACGUUGAUCUAAUUAAAGGAUAUGAUAUUCAUCUUCAGUAGGCAUUAGUUAUGUAAUUGAGUGCAUUACAAGCAUCUGUUUUUAAUGCCUGUUUUCUUCACAUGGCUGGAAUUGAAUUUCCAACCGGAGAAUCGGGUCGAUAUCCAAGUAUUGCUGGGAUCGAAGUUCAUAACAAAUAUAUCUGAUCACCACAGUCAGCAUGAAAAGCAUUUAGUUUUGUAUGACACUGGUUUUUUUACAGAGAAAACUAAAACUUCUAUACGUUUGCGCCUGAAACUUGAGCUUAGUACAGAAGCAAUACAUGUAAGACAUUAUUGAUAAGGAGAAACUAUAAAUUACAGACAUUAUUAAGUAGAAGUUAAGUUAGAAACUAUAAAGUCAGAACCCUACAUACACCCGCCCUAAAUGGCCGAUCCCAAGUUGGAUUUUGAUCAAAGCCCCAGACCAGGCCUGUACGUCUCCGAUUAUGUUUUCCUAUGUCUGUAUUGAUAGUUUGAUCGCAAAUUCUUAUAUGCGCUCAACAACUAAUAUGCAAUAGGAAAAUGAUUCUUGGUCUUAAUAAGGCCUAAGAUUUAUGGCCUUAAUCUUAAGUGGCAUGCUAUGUCACCUAAACACAUCAUCAAUUAAAAAANNNNNNNNNNNNNNNNNNNNAAAAAAUAAUAAAAAAUAAAGAAAAUGAAGAAAUCAAGGUCAGGAAUGAAGAUUUGCGUUAAAAAGAAAAAAGAAAAAAAUUACAUAAUGGAAGUCGGGAAUGGAUGUUCGCAUGCAAAAAGAAAAAAAAAAUUGGAGGUAUAGUGAGUGAAUAAGAGGUGUAAUGAGUAAUAUACUAAUAUAUAUGUGAAUUAUAUAAACAAAACUAUUUUAGGAAUUUGAAAGGAGGUCUAAUGAGAAAAUGUUUGUAUUUAAAAGUAAAAUGGAGAUGUAGAGAGAAUGAGAGAUAUACUGAGCAAAUUUGAAGGUCAUAAUAGCCGCACUCUUUAUUAAAUUGAUGAUGUGUCUAGGUGACAUGACAUGUCACAUAUGAUUAAGACCAUAAAUCUUAGGCUUUAUUAAGACCCUUUAGCACUACCCUAUGCAAUAUUUUGAUCCGGUCAUCCACGUCGCAUUAUUAUGCAUGUAUUCUAAUACCAUUAACAAAAUUGAAACCCAAAAAAAUAGUCUUAAAUGUUUCCAACGCAGGAGGUGAUGACUAGAGGUCGAAUAAGAUGUACUCUUAUUAUGAACGCUUAAUUUGAUCGGAUCAAAAAAGAAAAUGAAAUUAAGGACUUUAAGGUCUUUAGUCUUCAUUAGAUUUUCGCAUACGGCGAUUUGAGGAUUUGACAUCAAUAAUGCAAGUACACAUUAGCGUAUAGAAUCCGCUCCGCAAUAAAAAAGAAGAAAACAAAAACGUUGCAAUGCAUGGCUCAUGUUAAUCGACAAAGAGAAGUAGGUGUUGUGGGUAAAAGACUAAAAAUAGACCAUUGCAGUUAUAAGAUCAUGACGAAUAAUAAGAAUGUCAAAGUAUUAAAAUGAUCGUACAGAUUAGUAUAGGUCGAACUCGAUCCAAAGCAUUACCAAGUGCAAUUUAAAUGGAUAAUACUCAUGUAAAUGAUCAAAAAUAUAAAAACAUAACAAACGUAAGUGAAAAUCAACAAAAAUGGAUCGGUAAUAUCCAUAUGAUAUAUGAGAAAUUUUGCUAUGCAGAUAUGCAUAGCUUGCAGACUUGGUUUCUCACCCCCACCAUUCCUUUGCUAUAUGCGUGCAGCUUCUUCUAGGGGUAGAGUUUUAGGCACCAAAAAAAUCGAAACCGGUCAAAAUCGCACCGAACUGACCCCGAGUAACCAAAACCGAAUGAAACAGAGACAAUCGGUUCCUAAAACCGCACUAACCGAGUAGUGCGGUAUCGGUUUGCGGUUCCGUGCAUCCUAAAAACCAAUUAAACUGAACCAAACCGACAUAUAUUCUUUUAAUUAUUAUAGUUAAUUAUACAUUACGUGUCAUGUUCUUAUUGGUUAUGAGUUACAAAUAAUAAGCUAUCACACACAUGAUUAUGUAUUUUAAAUAUUUAAAUCUAACCUAAUUUCCUCUCAUGUAGUAUUUCCUUUUGAUAUAUAUGAAUGUUGGGUGAAUGAUGUAUAAACUUGGAGCUUUCAUUUAUCAAUUAAUUACUUGUUUGAACCCAUUAAAGUAAUUUAUUUGGAGUGUUGAUAACAAGGACUAAAAUCUCACAUUUCAAGGAUAUAUCGAUAUAUGGUUCAAAAAUUAGAAAUUUCGAAGAUAUAUUGAGACUAUGAAAAUUUAAAUAUAUCAUAUAUAAAGUUCACAUUCAUUCAUAGAGUAUAAUGCUGAAAUGUGGUUGUUAAUUUGUAACCAUACGUAAAUCUCAUUUUCAAUGUUGGUUAAUCUGCAUAUUCGUAAUAGAAGUAUAUAUGUAUAAUUGUAAGUAUUAACCAAAUGCAAUCAUAGCAGAGGUGGUUAUCCUUGAUGAGUUAUUCAUGGGUGACCAGGGUUCGAUUCCCAUGAACUGAGCUCAUUCCGAAAGCGAGAUUUUCGUCGAAAUAUCGGUGAUUUUUCGUCGACAACUUUGAUAUUUAUAUUUUUAUGUUAUUUUGUUAAGUGUGAAAAAUGUUAUUGAUAGUAGGUUUUGUUACCGUAACCACAUCGAAACCGAACCGAUAUUCGGUUAACCGAUAAGAGCGGUUUUUAUGUAUUUUUAUCUGUUUCGGUUCUAAAAAAUAAAAAACCGAAGAUUCGGUUUUGAUUUUCGGUUAAUGCCCGAAAAUCUAAGCGUUGGGACCAAGUCCACCCCUAGCUUCUUCCACAUCAUGUAUGUCUGUAACACAUACAAACCCCCGUAAUAUAUACAUAACAGACAACAAAGUAAAUAAAAAUCUUACUCGACAAGAAUGCUAGGUUGAGGACUCCAGGAUAUCGUACAUAUGAAUGAGUUUGACAAGAAAAUUUUUUGUUUUUUUUUUUGUUGAACAAGUGAGUUUGACAAGAUUAAACCGAAAGAAAUUUUAGUUAACCAGAAUUAUGAAAUCUUAUUCAAAAUUCAUCCCAGCUCAUCGUCAACUCGUCAAGUGCUCACAAACUAUUUCUCUUGGCAGUAACAAUGGCCAUUGUUACCGUUUGAGUAUAGUAAAAAUCAAUAAUGCACAGAAUCACACACAUUUGUCACAUUGUAACGUACAAUAUUCCUCUCAUACAUCAAUCUCUAGGGGUCUAGUCUUUAUCAUUGCCUCCACUUUUCCAUGUCUCUACAGUCUCAAUACCCAAUCUCCAUUUCUCAAGAAAUCACUUUACCUGUUAAAUCACCUAGUUAAUUAACUUUUUAACCAAAGGUAACAUCAUUACCCAUAUUUAAAAAAAGGUCAAGUAUGUACCCGUUUAAUUAAACCCGGGUCCGAUUCUCGAACCGCCUUGGAAACUUCCACUUGCCUUGUUAAGUGUGGAAACCACCUCCAUUUUCAUUGGCUCCUGGUUUCUGUGCAUGUGAGCCUAUCUGCCACUGCCCCCAAAAACCUACCCCUCAAAUAUGGAGAACCCAGUAUCACCCAUCCCAGACCCGACCCGACCCCUUAACCCACCAUGAUUUUAAAUCCAACUCCAUUAAGAUUUGCCGCAGCGAAUCCCGGCCUAAACCCCUAUAUAUUCAUAUUUCACUUCUACUAAUCUCCUCACUCUCUCACUCUCACUCAAAAUGGGUUUUGCAAAAGCUCUAGUUUUUGUUCAGCUCUCUAUUCUCCUCCUCAACUCCUUCACCGUUCUUGCUGACUUCUCCGCUAUCGAAGCUCAGUCACCGGUGCCGCCGCGCCACCACGGCUACUAUGCACACCCAAUAGCCGCCCCUGCCCACCCUCCCACUCACGGCCACCACCACCACCACCCCAAACCUCACCCUCACCCUCCAACCGUCGCCCCGGUUCACCCUCCGGCUCACGCUCCUGCCCACCCUCCCUCUCACCACCACCACCACGCUCACCCACCUUCCGUCGCCCCGGCUCACUCUCCUUACCACCACGCUCCUGUUAAGCCUCCAAGCCACCCUCCUGUUAAGCCCCCGAGCCACCCUCCUGUUCACCCCGCACCACCUGCUCACGCUCCUGCCCCAGUUCACCCUCCUAAGAAGCCCUUCCCUCGUAGCUUCGUCGCCGUUCAAGGCGUCGUCUACUGCAAGUCUUGCAAGUACUCCGGCGUCGACACUCUCCUCAACGCCACCGCCAUCGCCGGUAAACAUAUGUACACGUUGUUUUACUUUCUUAACUCCGCAAAUAUUACUCAAACGAACACGAAAUGACGUCGUUUUACUGUGUAGGUGCCACUGUGAAGCUGCAGUGCAACAACACCAAGUACCCGCUCGUCGUUAAAGGCACGACGGACAAGAACGGCUACUUCUUCAUCUCAGCUCCCAAGACCAUCACCACUUUCGGUGCACACAAAUGCAAGGCCUUCCUUGUCUCCGCUCCCACCACCGCGUGUUCCAAGAUCAGCGACUUCCACGGCGGUCUCACCGGCGCCGUUCUAAGGCCAACAAAGCCAUUCGUGUCCGAGAAGAAGCUCCCCUUCCUUCUCUACACCGUCGGUCCUUUCGCCUUCGAGUCCAAAUGCCCUCGUUGAUUAGCUAAUUUACAGUCGCUGCCCCUCUGAUUCCUAGAAGACUGUGUCGUCUGCUGUAUUAUUAGGGUUUGAGUUUGAAGGGUUUCCCCCCACUCUAUAAUGGAUGGUUUAAAUUUGGAACUGUGUUGCUUAAUUACUUGGUUUUACAAUAAUUAAUAACAGUUAAUUUAUCCACAUCCUCUGUUUUUACUGUUUUUGAAGUUGUAAAAUAGGAAUCGGCUAUUUUUACGUGUAGUGAAUUGAUGGGUUCAACGGUCAUAAGCAGUUUAAGUGGGUACUAUUUUGUACAAUGGCAGACAUGUAGCUUUCACUUUCACUGAGAAUAAAGAAAAGCUUUGAAAUUGUGAAUUUACGUUUAUAUCCCCAUGCGAUUAACAACCAUUGGAUUCCAUUUUCGUGAAAGGUCCAUUUGAUUUUCAUCGUGUUAUGUCGUUUAACCCAAGAAAGGGGAGCUAUAUAUCUCUAGCGGGUCCUAUUUUUACCUUUGAAAAAAAGAGGUCCUUUUUAUUAUUGGAACCAAAAGAAAGGUACCCUAGUGCGGUAAGGACAACACCAUAUCUGUUCACCAUGUUCUUUAGGGUGUUCUGGAUAGGUGAAAAGUUGAUCAAACCAUGUGGAUUGUUGUGUUUGUUAAUUUGGUGAAGAAAAUGGGAGCACUGGUUCAGUAAUUUACCAUAUGUUGUGUAGGAAGAUGAACUACAGACAUUGUAGGUGGUCGGUCGGUUCGAUAAUACGUCUUCCGGUCUUCGUAUUGGGUGUGGAUUCCGUUUGAUCCUAGAUCGGGGACGUUUUUUAGAAGUGCAUUUGGUAAUUGGUGUUGUUUUGUAUGUAGUUUUGAAUCAUUUUAAUACGAAAUGAUGCAAUGCACGAACCAGUACUGGGAUGCAUACAUUAUAAAUUCAAAUUCGGGUCGGUAUGUAUUGAUUCUGUUUCCUUUCAUGGUUUUGUUGUUCAGUGCUUUUUCUUGCAUCAUGAUAACUUGAACCUUUUUUGUAUGAAAUUUAAUUAAUUUAAGAGACAAAAGAAGUAAGGACAGUCAGAGGACUUGUGUGGAUGUUGCAAAGCUAUCAUCACUACAUUGCAUGAUGACCAAUAUUGCCAUGAUUAUACAGAUCUGCUUUUGUUUUUUCUUCUAUCUGUUUGAUAAUUUGUAAUUCUUAGAGAUAUGCACGCCAAAGUCGAACCUGAAUAAUUCAUGUAGAUCUGAAGUUGGAGCUGAUUUUUGGGUGACAAUCAGAGCUGAGUGACUGGUACGUAUUACACACCUCUCCAAGCUUUGCCACUUUUGUUUUUGAAACUAUCAUGGGAUAUUGGGAUUCAUGGCAAGCUGGAGCACAUUUGGGUAUGGUAAUUGUAAAGAAAAAGUCACUGGUAUGGAUCGACAGUGAUGCAUAUGGACCAAUACUAUAAGUUGACGGGCGAUGAAAUUGUAUGAUUUAGCGACUUUCAAAUUGCUUUUACAUGUGUCUUAAUUAAGUUACAAUGAGUUUUUCUAAUGCGGAAUACUAAGUUGAGUUACAAUUUAUCGAUGUGCUCUUAAUUUUCAUUAUUAUUUGAAUACAUAUAUAGUGAUCGUGGUUCACGUUAUAGCAAGUUUGAGAUUAAAAAAAAAAAACAGAGAGAUUAGAAUAGAGCAAGUAAAUAACUAAAUAUUGGUGCAAAAAUGCCAUUGCCCAUUUCAAAAUUCAAACUCUAGCAUAUCAUCUAUUUAUGUUUCAUUUCAUUGCAUGUCAUCUUGAGUACUUGACUCUGUCUCUGCAUCAUAAUGGAGGACUGCUCUUCUGCGUGAAAUUUGAAGACAAAGUCGUCGGAAAAGCCAGAACUUCUGUGCACAAAGAGCUUAGCAGUUAGCACCCACUCCCUGCCAAAUAUCCAAUAAUGUCAUCAGACUCGUGGAAGUGCCCUGCCCUGCAGCCCUGGUAAUGUUUAUGUCACAAAAGGACUAUACGCUAAACACUGAUGUCACCGAGCCCAAGUUGGUAGGAUGAACUGAAAAACCAACUGGCCCAUAGAAACAAUAAUCCAAGACUUGACAACCAAACACACAGGAAUCUGGGAAAAUGAAUACACGAAUUACGAAUAUGGCAAAUAAAUCAUACAAGGAAGCAGGCUAAGGAAGAAGGAAUGACUUACAUGAUCAAUAAAAUACUGAAGAAUACUGUGAUAAAACAAAGAUAAUUCGGUCAAGUUCUCCAACGUAUAAUCUCAUACGUAUAAAUAUCUACGACAUAUACGUACAGAAGUAUAUAGCCACAUUCCAACAGUGAGUAAUCACAUAAUACUUCAAGUUGCAGUAGUAGUACUAGAUCCAUUGUAGCCUCUCAGAUACCCUUGUAGCUAUCGCUGUUGGUGCAGACUCGCCAAUCCACUCGAUCAUGAUGAACCAACACUAAAACGAAGUGUAUAAAUUGCUAGUUACAGUACUGUCUAAGUUUACUGAUCAAGCUAAACGUUUAUUAGCUUACCUUAGAAUCUAUUAUGUGGAAAAUGGCAUCUUCAACAACUGAGAAACUGGCAUUGACAAUGUCAGCUAGCUCCCUCAUCAAGAAGCAAGCGAAUCCACAUGCUAAAUUAACAUGAACUGAGAAUCCAACCUAUAGUUAUCAGAACAACCUGUAGUGCUGAACCCAGUUCACGAAUCUCUAUCUGUGCUGAUUAUAACCCCAUAUCAAGUCCAACAAAUCCAACAUUGUUAUUGUUCAUGAUCUUAGUUACUCGCAUUAGGUUGUCUUUCUUCUCCCUCGUUUUGUCCAUGUUGCUCUGCAACUUCUUGGUGUAAUUUAAUUCACGGCAAGGUCUAGUUGAUCCGAGAGUGAUGCUGCUACUUCCUGCAAUAUUACAAGGGAUCCCAUCAGCAAAGUGAUUAAGUUCAUUUAGCUAUAGAUACAAACUAUGCACAUACACACAGAUUCAAACACGACGGGCAUCAUAAAACAGACACUGCAUUAACAUUAUUAUCAACUUUAACAAUGCAUCUAAUACUUCUUAUCUUUUUAUAAUACGGGUCAUCCUGCAAAUAAGCCUCCACAAAACUCCACAUACACAAUUCAUAACCUGGUUAUAUUUCAAUAUUACAUUCUAAACGGGCUUAAAAAGGAUCUCUUUGGGUUCUUGCAGAUAUAUUCAUCCCUACAACUUUAAUCUUGGUUCACAUAUAACAUAUAUGGUUUCGAUUCGAUCAUCCUUCCCAGGACCCAUAAACAGAAAACGUGUAUAGCACUAUAUAUAGUUCGUAUCAGAAAUAGUUGAAAGAGAGAGAGAGAGAGAGCACAAGCUUUUAAAGUAGCUUUAGGUCUGAUUACCAGAACCACAUUCAAAACUAAUAUAUGCAGUAUGUUUUGUUAAAGAUAUGAUUUGUAGUCGCACACGUAGUCUAAAUUCCCCUUAACAGGAUAUUAUAUACAGUGAAUUGCUAUAUGUGCUUGUUAAAGUAAGUUUUGAUGAUAAGGUCUAAUCAUACACAAAUCACUGAAAUCAGACAAAAAGUCUUUGCUCUCAGCCUCUCAUCUUGUGAUAUUAUGUGUUUCCUUUGAUGUUUUUUCUUCUUCUUGUGAUCCUUGUUAGGCAAGUGAAGAAAGGUCGUGAAAUUGCACUUCGCCUAUCUAAUUUAUCGGCAAUGCUAAGUGAAUAAACAUUAUAGGGAAAUCAUCUAUGCUCACUUUACGUGUCAGUAGAUGAUGAAUAGCAUAACCCGUCAUUUAUAACAACAUAAUGAAACAUUCUAAUUCAAUGAUGUAUAUGCCACGUAAAAUUUAAAUGGUUUUUGAAAAUAUAGUUCACCUAGCAUCGCUCGUGGCAAUAUUUAAUAAUUCCUUAGGUAGAGAUUGGCAAGUAAGCAUGGGUUUGAGAAAGUUUAGGGUGUAUAUGCUUUCGUCUUGGGCCAGUGUGACAUUCUCUUUGCUAGAUUCAGCUCACUUUAGUCAUUUCGGGAUAGAAUGGACCAUGAACAUAUAAAAUCUGAUUUGGUGUGUUGACGACUUGAAGCUUUAGGGGUUUCCAGAAGUAGUGAAUUCCUCAACACACAAGUGCAUAAUGCAUAAGAGCUUUCUGAAUUCGUUCGUUAAUCAGAACAAGUGGGAGCUCAUACUAUAUUGAAUUUAUAAAAGUGUCGAGUUCGAUCACUUUGCUUCGUUUGGUUUUCUAUUUUCACUGCCGUGAAAUCCUUCGAUUCAGUUCUUUGGUUCUGGGAUUUGGUACGUCACUGAAUUGGUUUAAUUAUUACAUGCAUGAUUAUAAUGUGGUGCUUAGUUAGCAAAGACAGGCAUUUUUGGGGUUGUUGUUAACAACUUUUUAUAAGCACAAAGUAUAAACAUGCAUAUAUAAAAACACACUUAUCGUGGAACUUUAGGGCACGCAUAAAGGAGCUUAUUACAAAACUCACAGAAUAAAUUGAAGAUGACCUAAUAAUUAGGACGAAGAACUCUGUGCCUAUAGCCCUAUACUUCUUCCUUAUCUUGUUGCGCAAGUAGAGAAUCAUCUUCUGACCGAUAUAGAUCGAUUUGAUCAAGAAAUAGAGCUAUACAGAGCUAUAUAUGUCAGAGCUAUACAGAGGAUAUGAUGGCAAUCCGACUGAAUUCCAAAUGGUUGUUAAUGGGUUAGGAUUACAUAUUACACUAUACUGAGCUAGCCUUAUUAUUUUUUCUCUAAGCUUGAUUUCUUGUUCGUUCUUCUGUAACCAAAACCAUACAGAAGUCAUGUCAUUCAUGGCGUGAUCGGCGUCUAUAUUGUUUCCCUGUAUUACAAUUCUGUGAAUAGAUUUGAAGGUUUCUCAAGCUCUCUUAUGAAUAUAUUUAGUACCAGCUAGGGAAACAACAAAUUUACCAACAAAGCUUCAGAUCACCCUAGCUUGUUAAUUUCUACUACGAAAUAUCAACUUCAAUAUAUAGAUUAAAGAUACAGAUCACCAGCAGCCGAGCUAGGAAACAUAUAUAUAAAUAAACGACUUACAACAAGACUUGAUAUAUAGCUAGAAAUGUCUCUAAUACAUAUAUUGCAACAGAGAAUGAUCAUGUAAAGGCUUCAAAAUGCAGUACUGCUAGCUUCGUUCACAAACUUCCUUAGUCUGUCGGAUAUCCUUGCAGCUACCGUGCCUGGUGCACACUCUUCGAUCUAUUCAUGAUCAAGAACAAAGAAUAGAUUCAUGAAGUGAUAUCAUGCUAAUAAAUUUAGAUUUUUUUUUUUUGAGAAAAAUUAAUUUAGUUUAUUGAACUGUCAGGUUUUAUGAAUAAUGUUGAUGAUGAUUUGCUUACCUUAGAAUGUAUGGUAUGGAAAAUGGUAUCCUCAACAACUGAGAAACUGGCAUUUACAAUGUCAGCUCCCUCUUCAAGAAGCAAACGAAUCGCCCCCUCAAACAUGAACUGAAAAUCCAAUCCAGUUAUCAGAACAACAUCUAGAGCCGAACCUAUUUCACGUAUCUCGAUCUGAGGUGAUCCAUUUGGUCCACUACCAUAAGCUCCAUUUCUGUUAUUGGUGAUCCGUUCUACUCCCAUAUGUCUGUCUUUCUUCGCCCUCAACUUCUCCAAGUUGGUCUGCAACUUCUUAAUAUAGUUCACAGCUGCAUCUAUUUGAUCUGGCAAAGAAGUCACUUCCUGCCAAAAAAAGAAACAAGGGAUCCCAUUAACAAAAUAAUUAAGUGCACCAGAUCCAAAUGUGGCAAAGUGUAUAUCGACAUGUCUCAAAGAGACUCUACAAGAGGCAGUGUAAGAGGAGAUGUCAGAAGGAGCAUUCUUAAGAAAAAUGCCGAGAGAGAGAGAGAGAGAGAGAGAGAGAGAGAGAGAGAGAGAGAUGAGACCCUUGAGUGUUGAUGAUGGGGUAGAAGAGAGUUGAGCUCGGAGUAUAGGGCUUUCAUCUGAUUCCUCCUGUUCUUCUCAAUGGUUUUUCUGUCAGCUCUACAUGAACUACUACUAGGGUACUGCUGCUGAUCCAUGAACAGAAUAAAGCUAUAGCCUUAGCUGAGUAUACCAAUUAACCUACAGUAAGAGGAACCCCAAUUUUCCAACCCUGCAAAUUAUAAUGACAUUGGUGAUUGGUGAUUGGUGAUGAUUUAUAUCAAAAACUUAAUAACUAGAUGUUGGUUUGUCAUCAAUUUCGUUGCAGAAAGAAAGCGAAAGGUGAAAUAAAAGCAAAACAUUAUAGACUCAACACAGUUAUGAUUAGAUGCUGUGCUGUGGUACUGGAAAAAGGUGUGUGCAGAUUACACAGGCAACAUGGUCCCUACGUACGUGCUCACCACCAGGGGCGUAGCUAACUAGGGGGCGAGUGGAGGGUUCAGUUCUUAAAUUUUCAAAAAAGUAAUUAGUCUUAAUUUAUAUUAAAUAUUAAUGAAAAUAAACAUAAAUUGACCAUUUUCUUCUAAGAAAUCCUUAAUUAGUCUUAAAUAUUCCUCAAUAAUAAUAGAAUGAAAUACAAAUUUAUAUUAUUAAAAUACUUAAUCCAAUUAAUAAAAUCGUGUCCAAAUGUUUCUUACCUUACUAACCCUUAUUAAUAUGUAAUUUAAUGCUUUAAAUUCCAUUUACGAUUUUUUUUUCUUUACAAAUAAGCUAGCUAAAUGGAAACAACACAUUAAUGUUUACCAUACAUCGACAUAUAUUAUCUCUCAAAAAAAAAAAAAGUAACAUAUUCCUUUUCAAUAUUUAUGGUGCAUGAAAUUUUAAAAAUCUAAAGUUUAUUCUAGAUGAUUUAAUAGUCUUUUUCCAAGAGCGCAUGCUUAUUUACGAAUUGGUACAUAAAACAAAAAUAUUGUUGAAAUUAAGUUUGUGUCAUUCUUUUAAGAAAAAUUGUGUUGUUGUUAAAGAGUAACUGAAAAUAAUUUAAUUUUUUAGUUAAUCAAAUUUGACCCUUCUAAGUGGGAUGUCCGGCUACACCACUGCUCACCACCAUCCUUGACCAUCAGUUUGAUGCGGGAAGCGUGAACACAACAGUAGGUGGCUCCGUCAAGCGUCAAAAGCCAAGUGAGAUAACGUUGGAAUCCACCAACGGCAACCUUGAAUCCACAAGACUACGGUUUCUCGAAUCCAUGAGAAGUUCUGGAAUCCACUAGGAUUUUGAGAAAACUCAAAAGUUUUAUUAAGAUGAAAGAUUGUCCUAAUACAAAGCAUGAUGGAGCUUAUAUAGACAUCCAUACUAAGAAUUACAAUCAUAAUCUAACAUUGAAACCUAAGAAUCCAAAUUAAAAAGGAAACAAAUAACCCUAAAUAAAAGAAUUCCUAACAAGAAAAUAAAACUACCCUAAAAAUACUAAAUGCAAAUCGAACAGUUAAGACGAUAUCUUUUGGUUUAAAUCUGAUAGGGCUGACUAAAAUAAGUCUUGUAGAUCUCGUCGUUUCCAUUUCGGAAAUGUAUAAUACAUCGCAAACGGACAUUAUGGCCAAAAGUUACUUCAAAUCAGAUUUAAUAGAUUUUGCGCGAUAAACCCGAAAAGUCUAAAACAUCUUGAAUAUUCCAGCGGCUAGCCACCUCAUGAUAUGAGAAUUACCGAUUUUCAAAUCAUUCUUUUUAAUUAAAAGCCGCUUCCUUACUUUCAUUUUUUUACUGUCUAAAUUUGGCCCAUUCUCGUCCUACGUCACAGUUUAAUUUCCACAGAUGAAAACACACAAACCAGCUGGCUAGCUGCUGGUUAAUUAUAUUUCACCACUGUGUUUAUUUCGGCUUUCACUAACCCCAGCCUAGUUUAGACUUCGAUCUGAACCAAAACUACAAAACGAAAGCCUUCUCAGAGUGAUCAUCUUAGACAUUAUCAUGUCCAGAUCAAAUGUUUUCUCAUAGAGCUGAGGAUAGGAAGAUCACACGCAAAGUUUAUCUUUUUUUUUUGGUCUAAAUAUAAAGUUGUAUUAGAUGAUCAAACAGAUCCACAACAAUACAAGAGAUACAAACAUGAAACAAAGACCCAUAAGCCCAGCAAUUAAGACAGACAUGUCCAGCAAAAGAAAAAAUAAAGGCUCUAAAACACUUGGCACACACAAAGUUUGUCUUGCUUGUGCAUUUAUACUCAUCGAUAUAUCCUAACUAUGAAAUUGACAAUGGGGAGGGAGACUAAUCACAGUUGCUCAUGUUUCCUAAAUCUUUCAAUGUUUUUUCUAUUCUUAAAAACAUCAACAACGGGAGAAACAUGUUCAAUGAGAUAUACUGCAUCAGAGUACGUACGUAGGGUAGCUUGCCAUACAUGCUUUACUAAUUUGAGACCCAAAACUAAUUUUAGUCCAAAAUAAACAGAAGACUAAAAACUAAUUAAGAUCGAGUUGAUAAAUACAUUCUUCUUCGCAGUUCUCCUAUCCUUGUUCUUUCCUUCUCUAAUUAAGCAGAGAAUGAUAACUGAAAGAUGAAUAAAACCAAAAACAACAUAAAGUAUUUACCUAGUACAUAGACAAACUAGACAUGGAUGAUGAUGCUACUGCUAUCUGGUAUCUUCUGCCUAUCACUUUCAAAUUUAGCUAUCAUGCAAACUGUAUAUAAACUACCUUUUUUCUUUCUUUCUUUCUUUUUUUUUCUUUUUUGCAGCGUGUAUAUAAACAGUACACUCCUUCUUAAUCUUAUCCAAUCUAGCUGAUGAUUUUUCGAGGCUGAGAACUGAUUGGCUGCUUAUAUUCCCAUUUCCUCCAUGUGCUUAGAACAAUCUCUGGUCUUCCAGAGAUAUUUUUGGUAGUUUUGUUUUUAUGAGCAUACUCUAACUUUGAAUUCUUUAAUCUUCGGUUCACAUUAAUUCUUUCAAUUGGUUUGUCACUUUAAUUGUCCUUACCAGGACCCAUAUAUACAGAAAACAUCAAGAGCUGAGCACCUUAUCUAUUUUCAGAAACGUACGUACUGUCUGAUCAGUGUGAAUUCAGAUGACACCCUUUAGCUUUAGUUCCCAUUACCAGAACCACAGGAUGACAUUUAUAUAGUUUUUCUUUAAGAUCGAGCCAGAUAUUGUUCUUAUAAAUUGACAAUGGGGAUGGAGACUAAUCAAAGUUGCCAAAUAUAUGCAUACGUAUGUUGCUUUACAUUUUGAUGAUGUCUAAUCUUAAGGGAAUUACAAAUCAGACACAUCGAUCGUCUUUGCACGAUGAUUCUGAUACAACAUAUAUGGGGUAGCUAUUCUUGCUUUUUACACAGAAAAGCUUAAGGACAGUUGUAAUCUUAUGAGAUGCUGUGGUCAGUGGCGGAGCCAGCCCGGUCUUGACUGGGCUGGAGCCUAGGUGAGUUUUUGAAACUUCAGAAAAAAACCUACAUCACAUCUGAUAUUAGGCAUACGAUGGGCAGCAAGCUGAUUGGAUGAUCUUUAGGUUGGCACCAAUUUUAUGUCGCUUUGCCUUCAAUCCUUUUGGCUGCUUGUUACGUUGCAACUUCCCAUUUCCUUGUGUUUUAAAAGAGUCAUUAUCAGCACAAAGCUAGAUUCAUGAUUUUCACUAGGACAAAGCAAAACCUUGUCAAACAAAAGUCAUCCCCUGUAGCAGCAAACUACUUGCUGCACUGCACCUCUCUUCUUCUGGAAAUUGACUAUUCUUCCUUUCAUGAGUCUCCUUUCCUUUUGAUCCAUGGUUCCUCCAUUCAAUUCAGGGGAANAAAUAUUACAAUUGAACUAAUAAAAGGUGAAGUGAUCGGGUNNNNNNNNNNNNNNNNNNNNNNNNNNNNNNNNNNNNNNNNNNNNNNNNNNNNNNNNNNNNNNNNNNNNNNNNNNNNNNNNNNNNNNNNNNNNNNNNNNNNNNNNNNNNNNNNNNNNNNNNNNNNNNNNNNNNNNNNNNNNNNNNNNNNNNNNNNNNNNNNNNNNNNNNNNNNNNNNNNNNNNNNNNNNNNNNNNNNNNNNNNNNNNNNNNNNNNNNNNNNNNNNNNNNNNNNNNNNNNNNNNNNNNNNNNNNNNNNNNNNNNNNNNNNNNNNNNNNNNNNNNNNNNNNNNNNNNNNNNNNNNNNNNNNNNNNNNNNNNNNNNNNNNNNNNNNNNNNNNNNNNNNNNNNNNNNNNNNNNNNNNNNNNNNNNNNNNNNNNNNNNNNNNNNNNNNNNNNNNNNNNNNNNNNNNNNNNNNNNNNNNNNNNNNNNNNNNNNNNNNNNNNNNNNNNNNNNNNNNNNNNNNNNNNNNNNNNNNNNNNNNNNNNNNNNNNNNNNNNNNNNNNNNNNNNNNNNNNNNNNNNNNNNNNNNNNNNNNNNNNNNNNNNNNNNNNNNNNNNNNNNNNNNNNNNNNNNNNNNNNNNNNNNNNNNNNNNNNNNNNNNNNNNNNNNNNNNNNNNNNNNNNNNNNNNNNNNNNNNNNNNNNNNNNNNNNNNNNNNNNNNNNNNNNNNNNNNNNNNNNNNNNNNNNNNNNNNNNNNNNNNNNNNNNNNNNNNNNNNNNNNNNNNNNNNNNNNNNNNNNNNNNNNNNNNNNNNNNNNNNNNNNNNNNNNNNNNNNNNNNNNNNNNNNNNNNNNNNNNNNNNNNNNNNNNNNNNNNNNNNNNNNNNNNNNNNNNNNNNNNNNNNNNNNNNNNNNNNNNUCUUAAGAUCAUUUAAAACGUAAAUUUAUAUCUCAUUCAACGUUGUGAAGAGAAAAAGUAAAAGUACAAUUUGAAGAAAUAGUUACUAUCUAAUUUUCUUUUGGAAAUAGUUACUAUUCAUGGUGAUUCUGUCAAUUUUUGUUGGCAAAGCUCGGAAAGUGAGCAAUUGAGCAUCAAGGUCCCCAUCUCUGGACUCUUCGCACUAAAGUUGAUUUGAUCGGAAUCGAAUGGUCAGCCACUAAUAACAGUUCUGAUAAUGCAAUGACCAAGACUUAGACUUACUGCUUAAUUAUAUAGUCAAUUCUUCCCCAACAAUAAUGAUUUGUAAUUAACAAAAAAAAAUUAACUAAUAUUAUCUGGUAGGUAGACGUGCACUUUCUAUAUGAAGUAACCACAAAAUUGGAUCGAGAAGUUUGGAGGUGCUUAUGCUGAAAAUUCCUUUCUUGUAUUUAGCCACUUCUUCUCGGAUGGUUCGUGUUUAGGGUUUUAGACCCUACCUACUGCUAUUCACUAUAAUUUCAUCCAGAUCUCAUCAUCCUCUCUUGAUAUUCUUCUUCUAAAGUUUCGCCUAAUAAUACCAAUUUUUUUUCCCAGCACAACUAUAAAACAAAGUCGUGGGAACACCCCUUUUCAGCUGAUCCGAUCGGAACGCGAGAAGAUUCUAAUUACAAACGGUCGGUUUAUAACAGAAAAAUAAAAGAUAAGGCAAUUAAGUGAUGAAAUAGAUAGCGGCAAACAAAGGAGUUAUAUAUAGCGUGACUCUUCAUCUUAUUUAAAGGCUGAUUCACCUACUAGAAGGGAAGAAUUACUCCUAUUGACCAAAAGCUGAAAGGGCGUAUUCCUAUUCUUUUUUCAUAAUCGCCUAUCAGACCUCAGGAAUAUAUUUCUACCUAAAUGAUAAAAUAGAGACCUUGUCUAUAAUCUUAUAAGAGUCGGGUCAUUUCAUCUAUUGUUAGUUGAUUAUAGUCUUAUGGAAUUGAAUCUUAGAUUAUUUUAUCAACUCGACUAACCUUUUCUAUUUUGAUAUCUCAUUUCUCGUUGUUUUCAAUAACUAGAAUUUGUGCUAUACUGCUAUAUGAAAAUUUCGAUCCCUGUUGUUUUCAAUUUUCUAAAUGGCAAAUUUUUAUUUUAGGAAAAGUCUCUAAAUAGCAUAAAAGUCGAAAGAGAUGAAACAUACAUUGUAAUGAUUGUGUAGUGUUUCUUUGCACUGUUAAACGAGAUCCUUCCUACCCAAAAUUUCACUUUUCCCGAGCCUGAUCCCAAUAACUCAACUGGGCCUUGCCUGUAGAUCGUGACACAUUUGCCCUCUAGGGCCCUCCAUAGAAGAACUCCGACACGGCCCAAACAAUUAUUUCACACAUAAAUUAACCAUCAAGCUUAUAGAAAUGAAACUGGGGAGCUAGGAAUUGCUUGCUUGCUUGAUUAUCUACCUGUAAUUUGAUCUUGUCAAAAGAAGAGAGGCAUCUCACUUGCUAAUGGACCACAAUUUUUCCACACUCUUAUUCAACAAGUUUCAUUCAUACACACACAAAUGGACGACACAUCAAAAACUUGUCCAAACAAGGUCUUGACAAACGAAAAUAUAGCACCCCCAUGUUCACGGUUGAUCGGUAUUUAUAGUGCAAUCGACCAGUUUCAAUGCAUACAAAUCAAAGUUAUGAUGUUGGUUUCAGGCUAAGAUAUUUAUACGCAUGGAAAAUCUCUGAGCGGACAUGAAUGUAACGAAUAAAAUAAAGAGAUUUUCUUUCUAUAAUAUUGACCAGUAUACUUUUUUGAUUUACUAUUUAACGCCCGAGUUUUUUCUUAAACAUUUGAUACAUGGAAGCCUGUUACGAACAAUCGGGAAUUUGUAAAUCUUUUUCUUGAAACGUUUCUUGAGAGCUGACAUGUGAUAUUGAUUCUAAUCACCCGAUUAUCCGUAGAUUAGAUACACUUCAUAUUGCCCUAAUCUAUCAGUGAUAGUGAGUUCCACAUGCAUCUAUCUAUAGUUAGAAAACGAAGACUAGCUUGAAGGCGACUUUCCCUCUAAAAGAAAAAGAGGGGAUGAGAAAAGAUCACGGAUACAAUUAGCAAAAAAGCAAUAAAGCAGAGACGCCCAUUCUAUGCAAUGCACCUAAAUUCUGAAUUGGGACUUUGGAAGAAAUGUGUCAAAUCUCAUCAAUAAGUGUAUCAACUCCAUAAGGGGAUGUAACCUCUUUACAUGACAGGACCAAAUCCAGCUGUGUCAACUCGCAAAGGGCAAUGAAACACACACAAGAACGUUGUGAGAAUUAAUGUCACAACAUGUCCUUAACCAACCUAUCCUUUCCAAAGACCACAGAUUUUUUUUUGCACCUAUAAUUCAACACACUAGUCUUGUCGUGCAUUAUGUGACCUAAGACAUGUAAGCCUAGCACAUCCUGUGAUCAAAACCGUGUAUGGGAAAGAAGAGGGAACUACUUAGGGUGCUACUUAUUUCGAGAUAUUUACCUUCUAAUAAAUUGCUUAAAAAGAGAUCAAAGUUUGAAUCCUUCCUUUGCCGGAAACAAAAACAAAAGAAUGGCGGAGAGACGUGUGAAGGUUCGAAGGUAGAAAAUCAAAUUUGACAGCUGGGGAAGGCAAUAUAAAGAAACUGAAACAGAGCACCAAAUAAUUCUGCUACAGAAAAGGGCAGGUGAUGAAUUCCAAUUAGAAAAGACUAGUAAGAACAAUGACAAUUAGACUUUAAAAAACCAAUGGAAUGAGUGGUCAAUAGGUGAAGAAUUCCAAUCCAAAAUGGCUAGUAAGAACAAUAUCAAUCAGACUUGAAGAAACCAAUAGAACAAGGAGUUGUAAACUGCUUAUCCAUCAUAUGAUUCAUGAACAUAACAUGCGUAUAAAAUACGAUGUGAAUUAUCCUGGAGUUUCAAACCAGCAACAUAACCCGGAAAUGCCAUAGACAUGUGUGGUAAGAGGUCAAAAUGUGCUAAAUUGAUGACCCAGCAACAGAAGAUAUUACAAUAUAAAAAUGUAAAGGUCAAAAUAUGCUAAGGUGAUGAUCAUUGUUGUGUAUUAUGUGGGAAAGAUAUUUGCUUUACUUUAAAGCAUGCCUACCAAUUGCUAUUAAUCACUUUCAAACUGUUCCACAUGAAUGUGACAUAGGAGGAAUACAAAUAAAAAGGCUUAGAAAACGAACCUUUCUUUAAUUACAAUUUGACCCGGUACCACUACAAAAGCAGGUCAUAAGAAACACACUUAAGAGAACUUGGGUUUAGGCAUGGGUGUACUAUGUGGAUGCUGGCCAAGCUUGGGUGAACUAUUUGGAUGCUGACCAAGCUUUUGGAUCCAGUGAAGCAUCCUCUUCUUAUGAUCUUGGCAAGUCAAAUUCUGUACAAGUGUCAGUGUUCCAUCUUGGGCAAGGGAAGACUCAAACUGUUCUAACACCUUUACAACCUGCCAAAACUCGGGUCUUUUAUCUGGCUGCAACGACCAGCAUUGCUCGAUCAAGGCUCGCAUAGCAGGUGGACAGCCCUUUGGAAUAACUGGCCUCAAAUUCUGAAUAUAAUACAUAAUAUCUUAGAAUGUGUUCAACAAGAAACUUGAUUAAACCAAAAAAAGUGGAUACAAGCUUACGAGAUGACAAUAAAUUUGAGCAUAAUAUCUGCAAAGUAAUGAAGCAAUGCAACAAUUCCUAACCUGCUGCAAACUCAUUUCAAUAUUACCCCCACAACAAAGACUAAACUUCACAAUGCAGACAAAUAAACGAGGACAUGUAAAUUAUAUUAGUUCAGAUGCAUUUUAUGCAUGAUGAAUGGAAAAAUAAAACUAUGAAUUAAGAAAGCAAAGAUCCCUCAAAAAAGUACUCUACUGACAUACCUUAUUCACAACUGCAAAAGCAGCUUGAAUGGGAUUCAUUUCCUCGUAAGGGAUUGUUCCAGCUACUAGUUCCCACAAAAGGAGUCCGAAACUGUAGACAUCGACCUUUCGCCCAUAGGAUUUGCGCUUAAUCAUCUCAGGGGCCAUCCAACGGUAAGUUCCAGGGUCAUCAGCCAUCGAAUCACAGUAUACCUCCUCACAUGCUAUGCCAAAAUCAGCAAUUUUCAGCCUAAAGUCUUUAUCAAUAAGAACAUUCUCAGGCUUGAGGUCCCGGUGAAUGACUCCUUGUGAGUGGAUGUAUUCCAUCCCCCGUGCAAUGUCCAAGGCAAUGGCAAUUAGCUUCUCUAGAGGAAGAGAUUUGCACUCAAGUUUGUGCAAGUAAGCCCUCAAGGAACCCUCAUCUAAAUAUUCUGUGACCACACAAUAAACAGGAGGCUUUCGGCAAGCUGCAACGAACUGUUUCAUUGAAUCAACGAAUCAAAAUAUCAGCAAUCCAUCUCCACAACCUCCAUUCAUUCCCAACAAUUAGACCCAGAAGAAAAAUAAUGAUCAUUCCCAACAAUGACUGAGCACGACCUAAUCAUGUCUAAAGUCUAUAAUUCAUUGAUCAGUACACAAGAUUUUAUGAGCCAGAAGCAUGAUUAAAGGAAAACUAAAAAAACUAAUGAUAGAUGAAAGUUGGGGCAAGAAAAUUCAAUUACCUUUAUGACAUUUGUAUGGUGGAGGCGAGAAAGAAGAUUGACCUCUUUGUUAAAUUGUUUCUCCAAUCGAGCUGCCAACUCUCCACCUUCAUCAUCUUCCGGUACCCUGAUGAUCUUAACUGCGACAGCUUCCUCAUUGUAAAUCCCAUGAUAAAGCCUGCUAUGAGCUCCAUGAGCAAACUUAAGACCAAGAAACAACUUUGACAAAUCAACACUAUAUUCAUCUGCAGCAUCCACCGCAUUAACUCUCCCACCUCCAUGAUCAAAAUACUUGGCCCAAGGAGAUUCCUUCCUCUUUGAUUUGCAUGACUUAUCACUGACUUUCAUUGAAGCCAAGUGCCUGAGAGGGCUAGUAUUCGAAUUUGAAUGCGCCAGAUGUGAUCCCUUGGCAUGUGAUUCCUUCCUGAACAACUUUCCCAUAAUUCCCUUAUCUGAUUGUAUUCUCCUAGGGUGUGGUGUUGAAAACCUCUUUGUUUCGGUCUGAGCUUCCUUAAACACAUCACUAAGGUUGCUCUGCGGCAAAGGAGACAAAGAUCUCUGCUUGUUGACAGUUAGAGGUCGACCAAUAGGUGAAGACACACGACUGUUCCUCCGAACCAUUGAAUUACUGGGGCUCGACUUCUGCCUAGUAGGUGAAGACACACAACUGUUCCUCCGAAUCGUUGAAUUACUGGGGGUCGACUUCUGCCUAGUAGGAGCUGCUGCUGCUACAGGCCUUGACUUCAACCCUGCCAUCUUCUGCUCUUUCUGAAAAUCUAGAAAGGUUAAAGGAAUUGAGGCCAAUCUUGAAUCAUCAUGACGAUGCGAAUCAAACCGAUGGGAGAAUUUCGUUCUCCUAAUCCAUGAAUAAGCCUCCUCCUCCAUUAUGUCCUUCCCAGUAACUCCCAAAACACCAAGAACUAAACCUCUUAUGCCCACAAAACCACUUCCUUAAUCUUCUUCUUCUCCUCCUCCUCCUCCUCAAACUGAGAAGGGUCACAACAAACUUGGUGCACCUCAAACAAUCUUAAUACUAAUACACAGUUUGAGACACCAAAUCUCCUCAAUCCCAUUCACAACCACAACAACAAACUAGUCUCACAAAGCUGAAUAAAGAUUCAAACUUUAAUUCUUUAUGCUUAUGUGCUAAAACCAGGAAAGCAUUCAAACACACACACGUCAAGAAACCAGAGCUGGUGAAACAAACCUUAUUCUCAUCUCCAUCAGAACCAUAAUUCCCUGAAUCCCACCAUAGCCCAUCAAAACAAAACCUCUAAUCAAAUUACACUAACAAAGAAUAAUGAUAAUUAUAUGAGGACCCAUAUAGCACCACCACCAAACCCUCCAACCUCUUCAAAAAAAAAAAAAAAAAACAAACUUGUAUCGGUUUCAAAGUCAAACACCACCUUCCGUAAAAGCCCGGAAAAAUCCUACACUGUUAAACAAAACCAAUAAACUCGUCAAUAAUUAAAAUUUAAAAAUUUAAAAAUAAUAGAAGCACUCAAUUAUAUUGACAAACUAAUAGACACCCAUGAUUACAACCCCCGUCAACCACGGCAGAAAUACAUAAAACAAUCCUGAUAAUACAGAAUAAAAGAAUACCCAGAUACAAAAACCACGACAUCACACAAGAAAAGUCAAUAAUUCAUAUUCAAUUUAUUUNNNNNNNNNNNNNNNNNNNNNNNNNNNNNNNNNNNNNNNNNNNNNNNNNNNNNNNNNNNNNNNNNNNNNNNNNNNNNNNNNNNNNNNNNNNNNNNNNNNNNNNNNNNNNNNNNNNNNNNNNNNNNNNNNNNNNNNNNNNNNNNNNNNNNNNNNNNNNNNUUUAAAAAUAAAAAAAAUAAAAAAAAAACUUAACCCCAAAGGAAUAUAGCAGCUUCUUCCUCCAUCAUGGCGAAUAAACCACCAUGAUUUUGGAGAUUAUAGUCACCAUUUAUUUCACCCACCAAUAUAUAGGGAAAAUGGUUGUAGAUUCUAUGGACCCGGAUAUUUAUAUGGUGAAGGUCUUGUUGUUCUUCUUGGUGGUGAGGCUGUGGGGUUUGGGAGGAGGAGGAUGGGUGGUGGUGGUGCUGGGUGGGGACCACCAGAGCCAAAGUCAGAAAAGACGGGAUUGAAAGAAAAUGAAACAGGGAGGCAGAGACAGAAAACAAAAGCUGAGAGAGAGAGAGAAUUGUUUUUGGAUUUUUAGAAAAAUUAAAAUUAAAAUUAAAAAUAAAAACAAAAUAAAAGUGGGAUUCCAUAUUUCCAUGUGUCACUAUCUGAGGGAAUAAGGUUAGGUCCGGUACGGUACGGUUCGCGGGGUAAUUCAUGUAAUAUGUUCGUACGUAUGAGUUUUUUUUUUUUGUUUUGUUUUUGGGGGUUAGUGAUUGUGG